ACUCCAAAGCUCAAGCUCUUCAUAAAACAGGUAGAAAUUCAACUAAGGAAAGUUGUUCGUAAUGUAAGAAGCGACAACGGCUUGGAAUUCAAGAAUAAUGAUUUUGAAGAUUUUCUUGCUGAGAAGGGAACGACUCACAAUUUCUCAGCCCCUUAUACUCCACAGCAGAAUGGUAUCGUUGAAAGGCGAAACUGAUCUCUGUGUGAAGCAGCUCGAAUGAUGUUAUGCUUCGCAUCCUUGCCUUUAUAUUUCUAGGCUAAUGCAAUUGCUGCUGCUUGUUAUACUCAGAACAGAUCAUAUCUAAACAAGCAAUUCUCUAUCACUCCUUACGAGAUCUUGAACAAUCGCAAACUGAAUGUGAAAUUCUUCCGUGUGUUCGGUUCAAGAUUCUUCAUCUUCAACUCUAAAGAGAAUCGAAACAAGUUUGAUGUUGAGGCUGAUGAAGGAGUAUUCUUAGGUUACUCACUGAAUUCUAAGGCUUAUAGAGUUCUAAACAAGCACUCUAAGAAAAUUGAAGAAACAUACUAUGUCACUUUUGACGAUAGCUAUGUUAAGAAGAUGAAGACAGCCGAAGGUGCAAUGUAGGAAAUCUUUCCAAAGACUAGUCAGGUUACAGCCACUAUUUCAGAUCUUUUCGAGCAAUAUAUUCUUCUUUUUGAGGAGCCUCAAACGGCAAUUGAUUAUGAAUCAACGGCGAAAGACAACAAGGUUGAUAGUCUAAAGCAAAUCAUUGAUGCUAUUGCUCAAAAGAUGGCUGCUGAUCAACCUAAAGCAACCGAGAGGCCAGACGUAAGUGAACCUUCGAAUGACCGUCCUAAUGUCUAGGGGGAGGGUCCGGCUCUAUAACAUGAUCAAGGCUUUUCAUUCCAGGGGGAGACUUAUCAUCACAAUCUUCAAGCUCUACUGAAAGUCCAAACGAAGGAGAAGAUACUAAUCCAGAUUCUAAACAGGGGUCUUCCUUCGAGGGGGAGAACACCCAUGUCAAUGAUGAUGAUACUCUAUCAGAAUUGGAAGAAUAAAUCAAUGCAUAAUUGGAUCCCUCUUGUGAUCCAAAUUACCCACCGCUCAUUAAAUGGACCAAAGAUCAUCCACAGAGUCAAAUUAUUGGAGAAUCUUCAGAAAAAGUGUUAACUCGAUCUCAGAUCAAAAUGAAACAAGCUGCACUCUUUUCUCAAGUAGAGUUUUGCAUAUUCAACUCCUUUGUUUCCAAAGUUGAAUCGAAGACUGUUAAUUCAGCACUUGAUCAUUCUGACUGGGUUCAAGCCAUGCAAGAUGAGUUGAAUGAGUUUGAAAGAAACAAAGUAUGGCGUCUUAUUUCAAUUCCAAAGGAUGAUUUGGUUGUCGGUCUCAAAUGGGUAUUCAGAAACAAGAUGGAUAAGGAGGGAAAUGUGAUUCGUAACAAAGCUCGGUUGGUGGUGAAAGGCUACUAUCAGGAAGAAGGUAUCAAUUAUGAAGAGACCUUCUCUCCUGUUGCAAGAUUAGAGUAUGUUCGUAUCUUUCUUGCCUAUGCUUCACACAAAAACUUUGAAGUCUAUCAGAUGGACGUCAAGUGUGCCUUUCUCAACGGUGAACUUGAAGAAACUAUGUAUGUUGAGCAACCACCAGGCUUCGUGAACGAGAAGUAUCCAGUUCACUGCCACAUACUUGACAAAGUGGUGUAUGGCCUAAAGCAAGCUCCCAGAGCAUGGUAUGAAACUCUAACUCGAUUCUUAAAAAUGUCUAAAUUCAAACUGUUGGAUAAGAUGUCUAAGUCCAUAACUAUUUCUGGUAAAUACUUGACCCGACCCGACAUGGUCCAUUUGGGUUGCAUGGCACCAUGCAAUUGAAUAAACUAAAUGAGAGAAAUAACACAUAUGUUUUAUUAAUAUAUUAUAAGUUCUAAUAUAUUAAUAAUAUUGUUUAAUUAGUUUUGAUCAAGAAUUAAUUUAGAAUUAAUUCAGUGAUCAAAAGAUAACUAAUUAGAUAUAUGGGUAGAUUAUGUAAAUCUUCCAUAUCUUAUAUAGUGGGCUAAGAGGCUCCAUGGAUUGUCAAGUUGGGUUUCACCCAUAGGAUGCUCCAUGGAGUUAACCCAUGGAUCAAGAAAUGAAGAGUCAUGGAACAUUAGGGUUUACCUAAUGUCACACAUUAUAUAAGCAAUGUAACUCUCCCCAAAAUCGGCUAUACUAAUAAGAAAGAGGGCUUGGCCGAUUUUGCAUGUGUUAGAGUAUUCCCUCAAGUUUAUUCUUUGCAUUUGGUGUUGUGUGAAGCAUUUGAGGCAUCACACUUGAGGUGCUAGGCUCACAAGGUUUCAAGGAACACUUUCAACAAAAAGGUAUGUAGUUCUAUCUUUUAUACAAAGAAAAUUGUACCCCAUGUAUGCUAGAUAGGUUCAUAACCUUGGAAAACAACUUUGCAUGAUUAUUAGACAAACAUAGAUCCAAGGUUAUUAGGGUUGCAUGUACACUUAGGAAGUGUUAGAAUGCUCAAAACCCANNNNNNNNNNNNNNNNNNNNNNNNNGUUAUUUGUGCUAGAAAGUUGAAAAAAGUCGAUAUUUUUGCAAUCUGCCUGAUGAACUCGCCGAGUCCAUAGGGGGACUCGCCGAGUUCAUGUGAAUCUUCAACCUACUCACCUAUUAGGUGUUGGAUAAGGUGUCUAAAUCCAUAACUUAUUUGGUACAUACUUGACCCGACCCAGCAUGGUCCAUUUGGGUUGCACUUCACCCAAACGAUUUAUGGAUAAUUUUAUGAGAUUGUAUACUUACGGUUUAUUAAUAUAUUAUAAGUUAUAAUAUAUUAAUAUGAAGUCAUGUUAUUUAAUUAGUUUUAGUCUUAAAUUAAUUAUGAAUUAAUUUAGAGAUUAAAAAGAAGACUGAUUAAAUUAUGGGCUAUUAUAUUUUAUAUAGUGUGGGCUAAUACUCAUUUGUUAAUGGGCUAAGCUAAUAUGAAAGUCCAUGGAUGAUCCAUGGAGCUUUUAACCCAUGGAUCCUUGGAAAGGAAAAGACAUGGGUUAUUAGGGUUUCACCCUAACCAUGCACACUAUAUAAAGAAGCAUAUGAUGCAAGAAAUGUGACACUAGGAGUGUGAGACUUAGUGGUGGCCGAUUCCACAAGAAAGUAUACUACUCUCUCAAAGUUUUCCAAGUGUUUGUGGUGAUUUGUGAUUCCAUUUGAGGCAUUCACACUAUUGGUGCUUGGCUCUCAAACUCCAAACAAUCAACCAUCAUCAAAAGGUAUGUAUUUCUACUAGUACUUUUAUGAUUCAUAAUCCUUAUGCUAUGCUAGUUAGGAAGAAACCUUGGAAGUUAUUAUUUGCAUGUAUUUUAGAAGAAAACAUAGAUCCAAGGUUUAUUAGGGUUGCAUGCACACUUAGGAAGUGUUAGAUUGCUCAAAACCCAACAGUGGUAUCAGAGCCUAGGCUUGUUUUCUUGAAUACUUGAUGCAGAUUGCUGAAAAUCGAAGUUUAUGUGCUGUCUGCACAGCAGACUCGCCGAGUCCAUGAAGGGACUCGACGAGUCCAAGACAAAAUUCAUCCAACUCGGCGAGUUGGUUCAUGCACUCGACGAGUUGGAACCCCAGACAGCAUAUCUUCGAGUUUUGGUGCUGGAAUUGGUCUAGAAUCAUUACCUUAAACUGUUUUGGACUCAUAAAACCUGUUUUUGAUGUGGUAAUGAUGAUGGUGGACCAAUUUCAAAGUUAUAAUCAAAAUUUCAAGUUUAUAUGUGUUCAUAUGAUUCUUGAAAUUGUUGAUGUGGAUGUUCAUGUUCAUAUGAGUUUUGUUAGAUCAUAGGAAUUAUUUGCAAAUUGUUUGUUAGUUAAUUCUUGAUCUUAAUGUGUUUUAAUGGAAUUCAUAAUUUGUCCUCAAGUUAUGGAAUUCCAAAAGUUUUUUCUUUUAAAUGUUUUUUUAAAAAGUCAUAAGUUACACUUUAGAAGAGUUUUUCUAAUAAAUGCUUUUAUGGACUUCAUAACUUGUCCUCAAGUUAUGGAUUUCCAAGAGACUCUUCAUUAAAAGUAUUAAACACUUAAUUAAAACUCAUAAGUUAUGAAUAUCCAAAAGUUUAUGAAUUGUUCAAAACUUGCCCUCAAGUUUUGGAAUUUGUAAAGUCUCACACAAACUUUAAUUCCAUACCCUAGAAGUUUUAAAAGUUAAAAUUCUACCCUUAUACUAUUAUAAGAUUAAUGGUUAAUUAUUAUAUAUAUGUAUAAGAACAAGUCGUUUUACCGUUAGUAGGCCUCAUUCACGAAGCCGGUCUAUAAGGUGGGUAUAAGGUUGUUGCCUAUAAAAUGGCAACUUAAUGGGUGUCCACUCUCACCCACCGCUUGCUUGACUGGUGGAGGGUCGUUAGCCGAACGGGUAGGACAAUGACUUUAAAUUCUCAUUAAAAGUAUAAUGAUUAUUAUAAAGUAACUAAAUAUUUUUUUUAUAAUUCCCAAUCUUAGUUACUUUAGGAAAAAUGUGAAUUUGGUGCUAGCCCAUGGAAUUCACACUUUGUACCUUACCAAGUCGUUGGUGGAGCGUGUGUGGUUAACCGGCACACUAACUUGGACUAGUAAGGAUCACGAAGGGUGACUUAAUGUUUGUCAUAGAUCAAUGGAGCGUGUGUGGUUAACCGGCACAUUGAUUAGGUGAUAAUAUUAAGGGUACCAAGUGAAUUGGUAUGGUUAUUCACACCUUGUUUUGUGAUCCUCGGCAUCCCAGUCACAAAAUUUGAGAGGGCACACUCGAGAUUGAAACAUGCCAUUGAAAAGUUCAAUGAAUCUCAAAAGAUCUAGGAAUUUCAAAUCCAAUUAAAACCUAAUAAAUUAUUUCGUUUUUCAUGGUGGAAAUUGGUGAAUCGUCAUUCGCCUACCUUCAAAUAUUUUAUAGCUUGGAUUACGGCAUCCCUCUUCCAAAUUAUAAAAUAUUGUGUUGGGUCCUAGCCUUAAUAUUUCAUAUUGGGUGUUAUAUUAAGGACUUUGAAUCAACUAACUUGAUUUUCUCCCAUUAUAGAUGUCUGGUUCAGACAACUAUGAUCUUCCCAAAUCUCUUGAAGAUGGUGUCCCUCAACAUCAUGCUUCACUUCCUCCACCUCCUCCAAUUAUUCUCCCUCACCCACAAGUUCUUGAAAAGUUUAAAGUCACUCAAUCCCUAUUGGCAAGCAUAGUCUAUGUGUGCUCACAUCUUGGAGAUAAAGUCACAUAUUGACAAGCCGGGAGAGUUGGGUGUCAAAGUCUCGUGAAAGUUGGAUGUUCAAUCACUUUCUUAGUAACAUAGUGAGUCUCUUUGGGACUACUAUGAGACAGACUAUGACAUGACCCUUAAUGAUGUUAUCUAUUUGCUUGGUGUUGUGGAAUCAGCAAUGAUUUGGAACACCAGUAAAGCAAAUUUGAUUAAAAGAACAACUUCCCAAGUCUUAAAUGGACAUUGACAAUGGUAGCAUUGGAUAUCUAGAAAAGGAUUUCUCUUCCCAAUGGAAAGGGAUCGGCCAUAGUCAACUCGGUUGACCAAAUGGUAAAGAGAAAGGCUAAGUCUGAGAUAGUCUCAUGUGCCAUUACCAAAGGGUCCAUGUGUUUUGUUGCCAAAGGAAGGGGCAUUGGUUGCGAAGCUGCCCUAUUCACCUGAAAGGUCAUAAGGUUGAUCAAGUCAAGAGGUUUGACUCUACUUCGGGUAAAGUCCACUGUCUAACUCUAUUAAGUUCCUAUUUGGAGAUUCUUAUUACAUAAUGUGAAUGGGUCACAUGCUGAUGUUUUUAAGAAUCAAAGAAAAGAUAGGAAGCUUAAAGUAAGUAUAUGUUGAUUCUGAUUGCAAAGGUGGGUUUCGAUCGCAUGGUUCGGCAAUCAGAAUUUUGAGCUGUUGCUUAAGAGUUAUAAUAUAUUGCUUAUGAAUAGAUAACAACAAGGUUUUCAUGUGGAUUGUAAGGAUAAGUUUUUCCGCAAAGUUUUAAAAUAAAAGAAAAAAAGGGUUUUAAUUUUAUUUAUUUUAAAAAUAUCCUUACAAUGGCAUCUGUGGAAAAUUGUUGCUUAUAUGUUUCCAGUAAUAGCAAUAUUGGAAAGUGGAUUUGAUUCUUUCAUUUGUGGUAGUGUCUGAAUUUACCAAAUGAAGAAAGUUUUUCAUCACCCAAGUUUCAAUUGGACAGAAACUUGGAAUCAUACAAGUUGUAUUGUAUGAUGAAUGAGAAUUUUCAUCUUUGAAAAUUAAGACUAAUUCUUUGAUCACAUGUAUAUGUGAGUCAAUUGAAGGACUAAGGAAUUAGGUACACUGGGUGUGCGCUGGUCAAGGUCCACCACAAAGAUUGAUUUGUCAUGAUUUACUAAAGAUUAGUAAAUAUGAUUAUACUUAUAAGGUUAAGUAUAAUUCUGUAACAUUGGAAAGGUUACAAUGUAUGACAAAACAAAUGAGAAGAAUCAAAUUAGGCAGAAAGAUAAAAGUUUCUCAAAUCUGAAAGGAUGGGAGAGUACUUUAGUAUCGUAUUUCAUGAUCAUCUUAAUGAUUAUGAAACCAUAUCACAAAUUCAUACUCUAAGGACGUCUUAGUGCAUUGUUAUGGCUAAGAAGAGAGGUCAUGAAUUGUUGGAUUGGUUAAAAUCAAGAAGAUGAGUCAUACUUCGUUCCAAAACAAUUCUUAGAGUCAUACUCCAAGAUUGUAACUUUGAGUGACAUAAAGGAAGAUUUAUUAACACUAGUCAAAUGUAAGAGUAAAAUGUUUUCUACUCUUGUACAUUUGAGAUUGGUAAGUUGUGAUGUCUUGGAUGAGACAAAGACCAACUAAGACCAAUUGUGUGAAGUGUUAGUCUUGAUAAGAAUCCGCACUAUCCCUUGAAUAUUUGUUUUGUCAAGGAAUGGUUCUUGACUGGGGAAACUUAUAUGUCAAGGGGACAGUGGGAGCCUUAAAGAUCCUGAAAGAGUUUCAAGAUUUAAUCAAGAGUAAAACCUGUAAUUUAUCACUAGCACACGACUUAAGGUUUGCAACCUAUCGUGUUGACAUAAUUCUUAUUUCUGUACCUACUUCAAAUAAGUUGAAUUUGCAUGUGAGUUAUCAGAGUUCAACUUGGAAGCAUUGGUGGGCCUUGUGCUACCAAGGUGACAAGAAACUAAGAUUGAACAAGUUUAAUCCAUGUAAGGCUGAAUUUGUCACUAACCUUAUCUUGUGAUUAUGGUUUUGACAAAUUCACAUGGAUAGGAACUCAUACACUAUAAAAUCUAAGUGUCAUAAGGUUUCUCUCCGAUUCAUGAAAAUGAUGGUGAGGAAACGCUUUCACUAAGUAGAUUUUACGUAGAUAUCAAUUGUGUUAUUUGCAUUUUCAAAAGUCGUUAGUGGAGCGCGUGUGGUUAACCGGCACACUAACAUGGACUUGUGAGAAAUGGCAAAUGCCUAAGCAAUUGAGACUAUGAUUACGGCAUCCCUUUUCAUAGUUCUGAAAAUUGUUUAGACACACAUGUGAGCUAUCUAAGAAAGGGUGUAUGAAUCUAAAUUUCAGAAGUCCAACAGAUUUCUGGAAAUGUGUCAGAGCUAGUGGGAGCAUAAGUGUUAUGCUGAUAAUCAUCAUGUUAGUGGGAGCAUGACUAUUAUGAUUAGUAUUGCAAGCUAGCAAUGUUAAUUAUAGAAAACAAAGUUUCAAUCCGUGAAGUUGCAGGGGUUGAAAAGUUGUUUUGCUAUAAUUAAGGGAGAGGAAAUUAUACUUCAUUUCAAUUCUAAAGCUUAGAUUGAGAUUUUAAUCAUCUUUAGUCAAGAAUAUAUAUAUGAAUUUUAUGUCGGAAUGGUUCAACUUGAAGAAAUUCUAUAUAUAUUGCGUUUUCAAAAUUCGAUUAUGAUUACGGCAUCCCUCUUCAUAGUUAAAUUUUGAAAACAUGGCAAAUAAAAAAUAUUGUAGCAAAAGACUGGUCUAGUAUCAUGUCUUUAUGUCAAACAUCAUGAAUCGUGUCCCAUAUGCUUCGGAUAUAGGAUCGAUUUCAUGUGCUAUAAUAUUCAUCCUUUCUAAAUUUUCCAAAUGCUUAAGGCAUUUAGAAGGGAAAAGUCUAGAACUGGAUAUGACUAAAGUGAUUAAGCAAUUGUCGAGGACAAUCUGAGGUUCGCCAAAGAUUGGUUGCUCAGGGACAUUUGGAAGUCUAGUGUUAAUUUUGGUAGGACCAUAUCGACAUUUUCUGAAAAGAGGUAACUCUUGUUCGGAAGUGAUAGUCAAAUAGGACUAUGGAAAUGUCUCCAUAGGUGGAAGUGAUUCAAUCUAUGUAAGAUUAGGAAACUUAAUGCAAAAAGGAUGUUCCCAAGGAGCUGAUCUCCUUUGGAAUGCUCUGUAAUGGUUGUUGUCAAGUCUUUCUGACUUUGUGCAUAAUCAUUACAAGAGGAUCAAUGCAUAUAAGUUUAGAAUCUAACAGAUUUCAGUAAAUGACAUAAAUUUGGAAUUCUUGCAUUUACAAUAAGGAUUUGGGAUUGUGAAAUGAGUAUCAUUGGAAUCAUGUUCAAUUGAUCUACAUCACAAUGUAAGGAUCAUAGACAAACAUAGUGUGCAUACUUGGGGUAUGGCAUAACUAUUGUUUAGAAAAACAAAGUGUACAUGCUAGGAGCAUGGGACGACUGUUGUUUUUAUUCAAGUCUUAAGUUGAUUAUUUGAAACAUUGAAUAAUGUGUAAUCAAUAUGGUGAUAAAUAAAAAGUGGUUUUAUUUAUAUUCAAAAGGGUUCUGAGACCAUAUUAGAUUCGAUUAUUAUUGUAUUUCACUUUGCAUGUUUUGACUUCCAAAAUAGCUAGGUUAUUCUUUCCGGAUGACUAAGUUAUUUAAACACUCCACAGUCGUUCAUAUGUUGGAAGUAGGUAUGAAUCAAGACUGUCAUGAAUCGGGUUUGUAGAUGGCUAAAUGAGUUUAGUCAUGGCAAUGGUUGCUACAACAUUCAUGAGUACUCAUAAGUUAUGAGUAUUGGAAUAAACCCACGCUCACUUGUAUCACUUCAUGGAAUUUAUCUCGAGUGAUCGUGAGACGAUAAUAUCAUAUAAAUCUUCAAACCUAGAGAUAUGAGUUGUUACCUAUGAGUUGGUUGUGCAUUGAUUGCACGUAAACGCAUCAGUAACUUGAUGUUAUAAAACGUGCCUUUGUGUACAAUUCAACAAGUAGUAGAACAAGCAUAUGAGUCGAAGUUUAUCUGUUCCUUCUAGAAAUAGAAGCGAUAUCUGGGCCCCUCGAUGAUUUUGUUGUGACCUAUGUACCGGCCGGUCAGAACUGAAUUGAUGUGUUCGAUUAAGUUCUUUGUCAAACAAAUCGAAAAUCGGGAAACAAACUGCUGGACAAUAAGUACGACGUUGUUCCAUGUAUUUGUCCGGCUGAUAUCAUGAGAACAGAGGAUUAUAUGAUCACUUAUCUAAAAUGGCGCUUCAUAGUUCAACAGAGUUUUCGAGAGCUACGAUUGCUGGUUGGUUCCUGAAGUAACAUACGCAAAUAUAGUUAUUAGACUUAUCCAAGUGGGAGUCUGUUGGAUAAGGUGUCUAAGUCCAUAACUUAUUUGGUACAUACUUGACCCGACCCGACAUGGUCCAUUUGGGUUGCACUUCACCCAAACGAUUUAUGGAUAAUUUUAUGAGAAUUGUAUACUUACGAUUUAUUAAUAUAUUAUAAGUUAUAAUAUAUUAAUAUGAAGUCAUGUUAUUUAAUUAGUUUUAGUCUUAAAUUAAUUAUGAAUUAAUUUAGAGAUUAAAAAGAAGACUGAUUAAAUUAUGGGCUAUUAUAUUUUAUAUAGUGUGGGCUAAUGCUCAUUUGUUAAUGGGCUAAGCUAAUAUGAAAGUCCAUGGAUGAUCUAUGGAGCUUUUAACCCAUGGAUCCUUGGAAAGGAAAAGACAUGGGUUAUUAGGGUUUCACCCUAACCAUGCACACUAUAUAAAGAAGCAUAUGAUGCAAGAAAUGUGACACUAGUAGUGUGAGACUUAGUGGUGGCCGAUUCCACAAGAAAGUAUACUACUCUCUCAAAGUUUUCCAAGUGUUUGUGGUGAUUUGUGAUUCCAUUUCAGGCAUUCACACUAUUGGUGCUUGGCUCUCAAACUCCAAACAAUCAACCAUGAUCAAAAGGUAUGUAUUUCUACUAAUACUUUUAUGAUUCAUAAUCCUUAUGUUAUGCUAGUUAGGAAGAAACCUUGGAAGUUAUUAUUUGCAUGUAUUUUAGAAGAAAACAUAGAUCCAAGGUUUAUUAGGGUUGCAUGCACACUUAGGAAGUGUUAGAUUGCUCAAAACCCAACAGUAGGUUCUUGCACUCGGCGAGUAGGAGCCUCAGAAUGCAGAUUUUCGACUUUAAUUGCUGAAAAUGGACUAGAAACAUUACCCUAAACUGUUUUGGUACUUUAAAACUUAUUUUAGAUGGUGUAAUGUCUUUGCUAAUCCAUUUACAACAACAAGUUAUCAAAAGUACAAAGUUUUAAGCGUAAGUUUUGAUUCAUGAUAGUGUUCAUGUUCAUGUUCUUGAACUUAUGAUGUUUAGAUGAUCAUAGGAAUUGUUUGUAACCUAUGUGGUAGAUUAAUUCUUGAUCAUUAUGUGUUUUAUUGGGGACCAUAACUUGUCCUCAAGUUAUGGAAAACCAAAAGUCACUUUGUUUUAAAACCAUUAAAAGAACACAUGGGUUAUAAAAAUGAAGAGUCUUCAUUUUUAAUACUCUAAUUAACUCAUAAGUUACAAGAAAUGAAAAGUUUUGAAAGUUUACAAAACUUGCCCUCAAGUUUUGGAACAAGUAAAGUCUUGAUUAAAACUUUAGUUCCAACCCUUAGAAUUUUAAAAGUUAAAAUUCAACCCUUAUACUUAUAAUAUUAUAACUUAAUAAUAAUAUAUAUAUGUAUAAGAUCAAAGUCGUCUUACCGCUAGUACGCCUCAUUCACGAAGCCGGUCUAUAAGGUGGGUAUAAGGUUGUUGCCUAUAAAAUGGCAACUUAAUGGGUGUCCACUCUCACCCACCGCUUGCUUGACUGGUGGAGGGUCGUUAGCCGAACGGGUAAGACAAAGACUUAUAAAUUCUCAUUAAAAGUAUGAUGAAUAUUAUAAAGUAACUAAAUGUUUUAUUAAAUUCCCAAUCUUAGUUACUUUAGGAAAAAUGUGAAUAAGGUGCUAAUCCAUGAAAUUACACUUUACACUUUGUCUAAGUCGUUAGUGGAGCAUGUGUGGUUAACCGACACACUAACUUGGACUUAACAAGGUGGGUAAAGGGUGACUUAAUAUUUAUCAUAGUAUCGAUGGAGCGUGUGUCGUUAACCGGCACAUCGAUUGAGGGGUAAUUUAUUAAGGGUACCAAGUAAUUUGCAUGGUUACUUCACACCUCGUUUUGUGAUUCUCGGCAUCCCAAUCACAAAACUUGGAGGGCACACUCGAGAUUGAAAAAUGCCUUUGAAAAGUUCAUUGAAUCUCAAUAGAAUCUAGGAGUUUCUAAGAACCAGAUUAAAUAUUUUUAAUAUUUCGACUUUGGUGGAAAUUGGUGAAUCGUCAUUCACCUACCUUUCAAAUAUGUUAUUACUUAGAUUACGAGAUACCUCUUCUAAGUAUAAUAUAUUGUGAUUGGGUCCUAGCCUUAAUACUACAUUUGGGUGUUUUAUUAAGGACUAUUCCUAUUUCUAAACUACAUUUUUCUUCUUUUCAGAUGUCUGCAAACACUGCUGCUUCUGGCUCUAAUCCUAAUGGCUCCUUUUCUGUGAUGAACUUGUGUGAGAAAGUCACUUUUGAUGGAUCCAACUUUAAUGAAUGGAUCAGAAACAUCCGAAUGAUUACCCGCUACGAGGACAAAGAAUACGUCCUCCAUAAGGAGCUUAAGGAGAUUGAUGAGACAGUUGCUACUCCUCAAGAGAUCGCUGACUUUAGGACACAUGAAAGGGAUGCCACCAAGGUGGCAUGCAUCAUGAUUGCCACUAUGAUAGCCAGUCUCCAAAAGUCCUACAAUGACUACUAUCCUUUUGAAAGAUACCAUCAAAGUGCACGACAAGAGAGGUAUGAAAUCAUCUCCUCCAUUAUAACAACCUGAAUAAAGGAUGGAGAACCCAUCAUAGGCAACAUGCAGAAAAUGCAAAGAUUUGUGGACCGCAUGCUGAAGCUUAAUGUGAACUUCCCCGAGGAGCUAGCAAUAGAUAUUAUUUUGCACUCCUUACCUUUAUGUUAUGAUCAAUUCCGCAUGACAUACCACAUAAACAAGGAAUAGGUGACUCUCAGCAAACUUCAAGGACUCUUAAAGACUGCGAAAAGUGGUCUUAAGGGUAAGGCGGUUGUUACUACUCCUACUCCUACCAACUCCGCCCCUGUCUUGGCAAUCGGGAAAGGACGAGGGAAGAAGAGUAAGAGUUCUUUGAAGGGUACCAGAUUUAGGACCCUUGAUGGCUCUUCUUCAAGUGGAACCAAGAAAGGUUUCAUCACUCCUUCUUCUGACCCAAAAGAGGCUGAAUGCUUCUAUUUCAAUGAAAAGGCACAUUGGAAGCGGAAUUGCCCAAAGUACCAGCAAGAUGUGAAGGAUGGGAAAGUUAAACCCAACCAUGCAGGUAUUUACACUAUCUUAUCUAAUAACUCACCCCAUUCUAACUCAUGGGUCCUUGAUACCGGUUGUGGUAUUCAUAUNNNNNNNNNNNNNNNNNNNNNNNNNNNNNNNNNNNNNNNNNNNNNNNNNNNNNNNNNNNNNNNNNNNNNNNNNNNNNNNNNNNNNNNNNNNNNNNNNNNNNNNNNNNNNNNNNNNNNNNNNNNNNNNNNNNNNNNNNNNNNNNNNNNNNNNNNNNNNNNNNNNNNNNNNNNNNNNNNNNNNNNNNNNNNNNNNNNNNNNNNNNNNNNNNNNNNNNNNNNNNNNNNNNNNNNNNNNNNNNNNNNNNNNNNNNNNNNNNNNNNNNNNNNNNNNNNNNNNNNNNNNNNNNNNNNNNNNNNNNNNNNNNNNNNNNNNNNNNNNNNNNNNNNNNNNNNNNNNNNNNNNNNNNNNNNNNNNNNNNNNNNNNNNNNNNNNNNNNNNNNNNNNNNNNNNNNNNNNNNNNNNNNNNNNNNNNNNNNNNNNNNNNNNNNNNNNNNNNNNNNNNNNNNNNNNNNNNNNNNNNNNNNNNNNNNNNNNNNNNNNNNNNNNNNNNNNNNNNNNNNNNNNNNNNNNNNNNNNNNNNNNNNNNNNNNNNNNNNNNNNNNNNNNNNNNNNNNNNNNNNNNNNNNNNNNNNNNNNNNNNNNNNNNNNNNNNNNNNNNNNNNNNNNNNNNNNNNNNNNNNNNNNNNNNNNNNNNNNNNNNNNNNNNNNNNNNNNNNNNNNNNNNNNNNNNNNNNNNNNNNNNNNNNNNNNAGAGUUCCUCGACUAUCUUAGGGAAUGUGGGAUUGUCUCACAAUUGACACCUCCCAGGACACCACAGUUGAAUGGUGUAGCUGAGAGGCGUAAUCGAACCUUGUUGGAUAUGGUUCGUUCCAUGAUGAGUCGAGCUUCGCUACCAAUCUCAUUCUGGGGGUAUGCCUUAGAGACUGCCGCCCAUAUUCUUAAUCUAGUCCCUACAAAGAAAGUUGCCAAAACUCCUCACGAGAUGUGGACUGGUAAAGUACCUAAACUAGACCACAUCAAGAUUUGGGGUUGCGAGGCUUUUGUGAGGCGCGAGUCUCAUGAUAAGCUAGAACCCCGAAGCGAGAGGUGUAUUUUCAUCGGCUACCCACAAAGAUCCUUUGGUUACCUUUUCUACAGACAUAGUGAUAAUGUGGUCUUUGUAGCAAGAAGAGGAGUCUUUCGAGAGAGAGAAUUUAUAAGCCAAGGAGACAGUGGGAGGCAAAUUGACCUUGAAGAACUUCAAGAGUCAAGUGGUGAAGGAACUUCAAACCCUAGCCCUCAACUUGAGGAGGAAACUCCUGUUGAGCCAAUUGACGAGUCUGUACCUCUGAGGCGUUCCACGAGAGUUAGGAAUGCACCUGAGCAUUACUAUGGUUUCCAUAUUAUUGCGGAAGGUGAGACACUUAUUAGUGAUGAGACACUAGUAGGUCUGGAUGAACCUAACAGCUACACGGAAGCCAUGGUAGGCCCUGAGUCCGCUAAAUGGAAAGAGGCUAUGGAAAGCGAGAUACAAUCAAUGUAUGACAAUCAAGUUUGGAACAUGGUUGAGAAUGUACCAGGUCGUAAGACUGUAGGGUGCAAAUGGAUCUUCAAGAAGAAGACCGACAUGGACGGUAAUGUACACACUUAUAAGGCUCGACUGGUUGCAAAGGGCUUCUCUCAAACUCCUGGAGUGGAUUAUGAUGAGACUUUUUCUCCAGUAGCCAAGAUUAAGUCUAUUAGGGUUAUGUUAGCCAUAGCUGCAUUUCAUGACUAUGAAAUAUGGCAAAUGGAUGUCAAAACCGCUUUCCUUAAUGGAAAGUUGACUGAAGAUGUUUGCAUGAGUUAGCCGGAAGGUUUUCUCAGGAAUGAGUACUCUAAUAGAGUGUGUAAGCUUGAAAAAUCCAUUUAUGGAUUAAAGUAAGCACCUCGCAGAUGGAAUCUUUGCUUUGAUGAGAAAGUCAAGGAAUUUGCCUUUUCUAGGAGUGAAGAUGAAUCUUGUGUGUAUGUCAAGGCUAGUGGGAGUAUAGUUAGCUUUUUGGUAUUGUAUGUGGAUGACAUACUACUCAUAGGAAAUGACAUCCCAACUCUGCACGAAAUUAAGUCCUGGAUUGGGAAGUGUUGUUAGCUGCCUAUAUUCUUGGGAUAAGGAUUUUGAGAAACCGAAGUAAAAGACUAAUUGGACUCAGUCAAAGUACCUACUUGGACAAGGUGUUGAAGAGAUUCAGCAUGCAAAAAUCCAAGAAAGGAGAGUUACUCAUCCAGAGUAACGCCAGAUUGAGUAAGACACAAAGCUCAAGUACCGAGGCUGAGAUAGCAGAAAUGAGUCAAGUACCUUAUGCUUCAGCAGUAGGCUCGAUCAUGUAUGCUAUGACGUGUACUUGACCUGAUGUAGCCUUUGCCUUGAGCAUGGUUAGCAGGUAUCAGGGGAAUCCUGGCAAGGCACACUGGACUGCGGUAAAGAAUAUCCUCAAGUACCUACGGAGGACUAAGGACUGGGUCCUUACCCUCGGCGGGAGUGAUGACUUGAGAGUUGUAGGGUAUAGUGAUGCUAGCUUCCAGACUGAUAGGGAUAAUUUCCGCUCUCAGUCGGGCUGGGUCUUUACCUUAAACGGAGGAGCAAUCACUUGGAAGAGUUCCAAGUAGGAGACAGUGGCUGAUUCCACUUGUGAAUCAGAGUAUAUAGCAGCGAGUGAGGCAACAAAGGAGGCAAUAUAGAUGAAGAACUUCAUUGGAAACCUUGGAGUUGUAUCAGCUAUAAAGGAGCCUAUGGAAAUUUUCUUUGAUAGUGAAAGUGUUGUUGCCUUAGCCAAGGAACCAAAGGAUCACGGGAGAUCCAGACACAUCGAUAGAAAAUAUCAUUUUAUUAGACAUCCAUAGAAGAAGGAAUCCUCGUGGAAAAGAGGGUAUCAUCGAAUGAGAACCCAGUAGAUCCCCUCACGAAGGGACUGAGUAGGGUUAAGCAUCUCCAGCAUGCUCGGAGCAUAGGGCUGAAGGAUGAUAUGAGUUUUAGUAGUUAGAUGAAUUAUGAAAUUUGUAAAGUGAAAUUGACAAUCGAUGAUGAAUAAAAGUUGUGUUUAUUUAUGAGUAAAGUGUUACUAUCUUUUGUCAAUCGUUUACUAUAAUUUCUUUUACAUGUUUUGACUUCCAGAAUAGUAUGUUAUGGUUUCACAUAUUAUUCAAACUUUCCACAGUCAGUCAUAUGUUGGAAGUAGAUAUGAAGUAAGACUGUCAUGAAGUUGGUUGUAGGUGUCAGGAUAUAAGACAACACUUCAUGAGUGGUCAUAAGUUCUGAGUAUUGGAAUCAACCCACGCUCACUGGAAUCACUUCAUGGAAUUUUAUCUCAAUUGAUUGUGAGACGGUAAUAUCAUAUAAGUCUUCAAACCUAGAGAUAUGAUUUGUUGCCUAUGAAUUGGUUAUGCAUUGAUUGUACGAAAACGCAUUGGUAACUCGAUGUUAUAAAACGUGCUUUUGUGUAUAAUUCAACUAGUAGUAGAAUAAACAUAUGAGUCGAAGUUUACAUGUUCCUUCUUGGAUUAGAAGAUGAUAUGUUGGGUCAAAAAUAUGGUUUAUACUUUUCUUUUCUAGGAAAAUAUAUUUUUAUGUAAUGUUGUAUGUGUUUGCGGUUUGUGUGUACACGGCCGCACACCCUGUGUAUGGCCGUACACAGGGUGUGUGGCUGCACACAUGUGUAUGGAUGGAGGUCCACAUAAAUAGACAAACUCAUGUGGGAGUGUACGGUAAGAAGAGGCUAGAGAAGAGAGAGAAAGUUAGAGAGAAGAAGUGUGUGUGAGAGAGAAUCUAUUGUAAGGAGCAUCACUCAAUUUCAUUAAUACAUCAUAGAUUCAUCUUUAAUCUUCUUCUUCUUCUCUUCUAUUUGAUCUGACAUCAUCCAACUGAUUGGGAUUCCGCACCAUCAAUUGGAUCUGAUUGAUACACAAGCAAUUUUGGGGACUUACAAUUGGUAUCAGAGCUUGGUUGUAUCAAUCAAUUUUUUCAGAUCUGGAGCUUAUUUGAUCUUAUUUUGAAAAGAUAAUAGCAUUUUUGGAUAGAUCUCGCAAAAAUAAGGGGGGUUACUUCUUUGCAUUUUUCAUAAAAACGAGAUUUUGAUCGAGUUUUGGAGCAAAAAAGGGUGAAAAACGUCGUUUUUUUUUUCGCGAAUCUGUUGAAGGUGUGCGGCUCGGAGUAUACAGCUCUGUGUGCGGCCUCGGUGUGUGCGGCCCCGGUGUGUGCGGCUCGGUCUNNNNNNNNNNNNNNNNNNNNNNNNNNNNNNNNNNNNNNNNNNNNNNNNNNNNNNNNNNNNNNNNNNNNNNNNNNNNNNNNNNNNNNNNNNNNNNNNNNNNNNNNNNNNNNNNNNNNNNNNNNNNNNNNNNNNNNNNNNNNNNNNNNNNNNNNNNNNNNNNNNNNNNNNNNNNNNNNNNNNNNNNNNNNNNNNNNNNNNNNNNNNNNNNNNNNNNNNNNNNNNNNNNNNNNNNNNNNNNNNNNNNNNNNNNNNNNNNNNNNNNNNNNNNNNNNNNNNNNNNNNNNNNNNNNNNNNNNNNNNNNNNNNNNNNNNNNNNNNNNNNNNNNNNNNNNNNNNNNNNNNNNNNNNNNNNNNNNNNNNNNNNNNNNNNNNNNNNNNNNNNNNNNNNNNNNNNNNNNNNNNNNNNNNNNNNNNNNNNNNNNNNNNNNNNNNNNNNNNNNNNNNNNNNNNNNNNNNNNNNNNNNNNNNNNNNNNNNNNNNNNNNNNNNNNNNNNNNNNNNNNNNNNNNNNNNNNNNNNNNNNNNNNNNNNNNNNNNNNNNNNNNNNNNNNNNNNNNNNNNNNNNNNNNNNNNNNNNNNNNNNNNNNNNNNNNNNNNNNNNNNNNNNNNNNNNNNNNNNNNNNNNNNNNNNNNNNNNNNNNNNNNNNNNNNNNNNNNNNNNNNNNNNNNNNNNNNNNNNNNNNNNNNNNNNNNNNNNNNNNNNNNNNNNNNNNNNNNNNNNNNNNNNNNNNNNNNNNNNNNNNNNNNNNNNNNNNNNNNNNNNNNNNNNNNNNNNNNNNNNNNNNNNNNNNNNNNNNNNNNNNNNNNNNNNNNNNNNNNNNNNNNNNNNNNNNNNNNNNNNNNNNNNNNNNNNNNNNNNNNNNNNNNNNNNNNNNNNNNNNNNNNNNNNNNNNNNNNNNNNNNNNNNNNNNNNNNNNNNNNNNNNNNNNNNNNNNNNNNNNNNNNNNNNNNNNNNNNNNNNNNNNNNNNNNNNNNNNNNNNNNNNNNNNNNNNNNNNNNNNNNNNNNNNNNNNNNNNNNNNNNNNNNNNNNNNNNNNNNNNNNNNNNNNNNNNNNNNNNNNNNNNNNNNNNNNNNNNNNNNNNNNNNNNNNNNNNNNNNNNNNNNNNNNNNNNNNNNNNNNNNNNNNNNNNNNNNNNNNNNNNNNNNNNNNNNNNNNNNNNNNNNNNNNNNNNNNNNNNNNNNNNNNNNNNNNNNNNNNNNNNNNNNNNNNNNNNNNNNNNNNNNNNNNNNNNNNNNNNNNNNNNNNNNNNNNNNNNNNNNNNNNNNNNNNNNNNNNNNNNNNNNNNNNNNNNNNNNNNNNNNNNNNNNNNNNNNNNNNNNNNNNNNNNNNNNNNNNNNNNNNNNNNNNNNNNNNNNNNNNNNNNNNNNNNNNNNNNNNNNNNNNNNNNNNNNNNNNNNNNNNNNNNNNNNNNNNNNNNNNNNNNNNNNNNNNNNNNNNNNNNNNNNNNNNNNNNNNNNNNNNNNNNNNNNNNNNNNNNNNNNNNNNNNNNNNNNNNNNNNNNNNNNNNNNNNNNNNNNNNNNNNNNNUGAUUGGGAUUCCGCACCAUCAAUUGGAUCUGAUUGAUACACAAGCAAUUUUGGGGACUUACAAUUGGUAUCAGAGCUUGGUUGUAUCAAUCAAUUUUUUCAGAUCUGGAGCUUAUUUGAUCUUAUUUUGAAAAGAUAAUAGCAUUUUUGGAUAGAUCUCGCAAAAAUAAGGGGGGUUACUUCUUUGCAUUUUUCAUAAAAACGAGAUUUUGAUCGAGUUUUGGAGCAAAAAAGGGUGAAAAACGUCGUUUUUUUUUUCGCGAAUCUGUUGAAGGUGUGCGGCUCGGAGUAUACAGCUCUGUGUGCGGCCUCGGUGUGUGCGGCCCCGGUGUAUGCGGCUCGGUCUUGGUGUGCGGUCCUCGUCCUCGCAUCGCAGCAGCCGUGCCUCGCCUCGGAUCCUCGGCCUCGCUUCAUCCUCGCAUUAGCGCUUCUCAAUAAAAAAUACCAACGCGUUUUGAGGUUGCUGGGGAUCGAACAAGGGACUUCUUGGUCAUCGUUACAGAUCCUUAACCAACUCGUCUAGGUGGCUCUUUGCUUCAUUCUUCCGAAAUUUGAAAUAUAACUCGUCCUUUUCGAACCUAAUUUCGCAUUUUUGACAAAAUCAGCCCAAAAAUCAAUUCCUUUUAUUUUUAAAAUCCUUUUUCAACCCAAAAAUUUUAGUUUUUAAAUUUUAACUUUUAUUUUUUAUUUUUUACUUAAAAUUUUGACUUUGACUUUUAAAAGGUUGACCUUUGACUUUAAAUUUUGACUUUCUCAUUUGACUUUUAAUUUUUCAAAUUUGGCUUUCGGGUUGACUUUUAAGUUUGACUUUUCAAGUUUGACUUUUGAGUUUGACUUUUUAUAUUUGACUUUUAAGGUUGACUUUCUCGGUUUUUAAGUCAAAGGGCAAUUAAAAAAAAUAUAAAAAUAUAUUAAAAAAAAAUUAAAAAAAAAAUGAGUUCCACAUCAAUUCCGGUAAAUGAAGUUUCAUGUACUCCAUCUUGUAAAGCUACGAUUAAAUUCCUUCGCAAACAAAUUGAUUUGCUAAAAGCGAAAAUGAGGACCUUAAAUAUGAAGGCUAUAAUCUAAGGAAAGGUCAGAAACCUUUAAAAGUACAAUUAGAGGCCAAGACUAAGGACUUUAGGAAAUUACAAGAAAAUUACAGCAACAAGUGUGAAAAUUAUGAUCACAUUAAAUGCAAACUUGCUGCUGUAAUUGAAGAACUUGAUACUUUGAAAAUAAAGUGUGGAAAAAUAGAUGUUAGUUUCAAAAAUUACACUGCGUCAAGUAAGACAGUCGAGUCCUUAUUUGAAAAUCAAUUGAAAUUGAAAGAUAAUCAAAACAAGGGUCUAGGGUAUGAUAGUGUUCCUCCCCCUUUCAAUCAGAACUAUAUAUCCAUACCUUUGACUCAGGAAGAGAUUGACCAAGAACCAUUUAUGGUAUACGGUAAACCAGUUGUUGAACAUCCAACUAAGAGUGUUGAGCUGAACGAUACUAAUGCUUAGACUUCAUGUGCAGGUAAAGUAGCAGAGGAUGAGAACAAGGAGAACACCAUCGAACAAACCAACAUCUCCUUGAACUAUGAAUAUGUUGCUUCGAACUCAACUGCUUCUGAUCAACCUGCUGUUGGUAAAUACAGGCCACCAUUUCAAGCUAAGCAGUGUGCCUGUUGCAACUGUGCGUGUGGGAACAAUAAAAAACGAGGCAAGGAUACGCCACGAGGGACUGGAAGAAACAACUCCAAAGUGAAGAAAAAGACAUGUUUUCACUAUUGAACACCUGGACACAUUGCCAGAAAUUGUCCAAACCCCGCAUACAUUCCCUACUACGCACAAGGCUGGCAGAACGCGCCAAGAGGGAGAUAUUUCAAAAGAAACCCUUCGAGGCCACAUUCAGACAAUAGCGACUGGAAUGCCACGAAGGCCAAGAAUCAAACCCACAAGGACAAGAAUCAAACUCCUAAGAACAAGAAGGGAAAGUCGGCCAUGAAGUCAAAUCCAAGAGAUGCUCCCGUGAAGCAAAAAUCAAAGUCAUCUCAACGGCCGACAUCAAGAUCAAAAGGAAGUACUGAGCCACCCAUCAGAUCAAAAAAGAAAUAGGUUAAACCCAACUACAAAUGGGUUCCAAAGGCUCACUCUCCCAAAUCUUCUAACGCUUCUAAUAUUUUUACAUCUUUUGUUGGUGAUAAACAGGACAUGUCAUGGGAGAGAGUACCGUCCAAGGAUGAUAAAGGUUGACCCAGUUUCAAAAUGGACUGGGUUCCAAAGACCAACUGAUCCCGUUAUGUGUCGGAGCAGCUAUGGAGGCAUAUCAUCAAACUUCGGUUUGUUGAUAGUGGUUGUUCCAGACACUUGAUAGGAGGCAUCUCUCAACUGUACAACACUCAGAACAUUGUUUGAGAGUAUGUGUCAUUGCGGGAAAGGAAGAAAGGAAGUGAUCACUCAUGGGGUUUGUGCUUAAUGACAUAAAGAAUUUUCGGAUUUUUUCUUAGAUUACGCGUGCUGUUCUCAGACGUUCUAGAUGCAAAUUCAAUCGGUGACUUACAGUUUGAGUUUUCUUCUCUAUACUCCUGAGUUUUUCUUAAGCUGAUUCGCUUUAAAGACAAAUUUUUGUUUUAGGAUAGUUUAAAUUUGCGCAUUUACUUUCGUUUCUCUCCUAUGCACAAAUUUAGGGGGAGAAAUAAAAACAAAACAAAAAUUUAAAAUUUAAAAAAAAUUAGAAAAUCAAAAUAAUAAUAUGUUGGUUAUGGAAUGUGCUUGAGGGAGAUGUUUUGGGAAGUGAGUGAUAACGAGCAAUCUGAGUCAGUGUAACGUACCCAAAGUUGAAGGGUCUAUGCUCUGGUUUGAUGCGUCGAUAGGCACGAAGAAUUUAACAGACUUGACUAGGUGCAGAUGAACUUAACGAAUCUAUAGACUUGACAAGUCUUGACCUAGUUAGAUCCGUUUAGCCUGACAAUACGAUGCUUGGAUAGGUUGAGCAGGUAGAUAUAUAUGGGAAUCUACACGUCACAUUAAAUGAACCCGUAUCUGGAACCGUGAUUUAACUUUUCCUCCAUGUGCGGAUUCUGUCCUUAAUUCCGGUAUUGAUGGGGCAACUGGUAAAUUCCGAUAAAUUAGGUCUGUAGAAAAUCAUUUUCUUUCUUUCUGUCUAUUAGUCAUACGUUACCUCCUCUGCGUGAUUGCAAGAGAUCCGACCUGGACUGUAACAUACGCGACUCUAUUUCUCUACAUAUUAUACAUAUACAUAUAUAAAAUUCCUCUUAUCUGUUAGCCAUAUGUUGUCUCCUUUGCGUGACUAACAAUCCGACGUGGUACACAACAUAUGCACUAUAAGUGAUAAUACUCUGAAUCUAUCUUCUCCCCUAAUGAUGGUCUGCUCAUCCGAUGUAAGGAGUACUUUGGAAGUCCUUGAUUACCGAGGCAUAUCUGGAAGCAGGAAACAUGUUCCAAUACAAUUAAAAUUGAACACUCAAAGAUUGUCUAUAGAUCUCGCUGCUCAAUUUAGGUGGACAACAAUAUCCCUGGUCGUCGUUAGCUGAAUGGUCCUUAAGAUAUAGUAUCUAGAAACUUAGGAUCAGAUAUAAUAUCCAGGAACUCAGGAUCACAUUUUCUUGUUACUUAUAGUAUGUCCUAAUUUUGUCACAAUUUUUCGUGUUUAAGUGGACAACAAUAUCGGCGAUCGACCAGACAAAGACGUGAAGAUAAAAGGUACCGACAAGCGGAUAAAGGCUGUCUAAAAACUUUAAUCCCAAAUCAUUCUUAAAGUUAGAUAUCAUUUUAUUUUUAUUAAAUUUGUUCAUAGUUUUCCUAUAUGCACAAAUUUUAGGGGGAGAAUUAAAAAUAAUCAAAAAAUCAAACAAAGACCAGAAAAUUAGAUAUCCAAAAAAAAAAUAGUGUAAUUUCUUGUUCAGAAAAAUCAAAAAAAUCCAAAAAUAUUUUUGUUUCUGUUUUUAUUUUUCCAGAAAAUAUCAAAAAUCCAAAAAUAUUUUUUUUGUGUGCUAAUUUUUCUUUUAGUUUUGUUUUGUCUUGAAAAGUGAUUUCAGGCGUAGAUGAGACUCGUGGAGACUGUAUUGAAGAUCUUCUGAGCCAAGGCUUCAUCCGUGAGCAUCGAAGAAUUCUCAUUCGAAGGAGCAAGAAAUGAAGAUUAUUCUUUCGACAUUCAAUCUGUCAACCCCAGAAGCAUGGUGAAGCUGUACUUGAAGAUUAUGUGACAGAUUGCAUUGAAGCCUCCUCAAUCAAUUUGUUGCUAUCUAUGAACCUGCUGAAGUGAUCCAGAAGAUUAUUUCUCUCCGUUGUUCUCUCUGAAGAUUCUCAAGCUGAAAGCGCUAUCUUUCAAGAAUCAGUACAUCAAGCCUCCUCACCCAAUGUGCGUUUAGAGUCAAAUCCUAAAGAAAAGCCCAACCGCUCGAGAUUAAGUCAUUCAUGAAGAUUCAUCAAGUUCAUCUUGAAGCUGUGAAGAAAUCAACGAUUAAUGCUGAAGCCAAGCUCCCAAUGAAGAUUAACAAGAAAAAGCCAGCUACUUUUUAAGGGGAGUUUGUUGGGCCAUUUAGAAAAGAAAGCUAUAAACCAAGGGGGAGAUUGUUGGGUCAAAAAUAUGGUUUAUAUUUUGCUUUUCUAGGAAAAUAUAUUUUUAUGUAAUGUUGUAUGUGUUUGCGGUUUGUGUGUACGGCCGUACACGUGUGUACGGCCGCACACCCUGUGUACGGCCAUACACNGUGUGGCUGUACACAUGAGUAUGGCUGGAGGUCCAUAUAAAUAGAGAAAUGCAUGUGGGAGUGUACGGUAAGAAGAGGCUAGAGAAGGGAGAGAAAGUUAGAGAGAAGAAGUGUGUGUGAGAGAGAAUCUAUUGUAAGGAGCAUCACUCAAUUUCAUUAAUACAUCAUAGAUUCAUCUUAAAUUUUCUUCUCCUUCUCUUCUAUUUGAUCUGAAAUCAUCCAAUUGAUUGGGAUUCCGCACCAUCAAUUGGAUCUGAUUGAUACACAAGAAAUUUUGGGGACUUACAAGAUAUCUGGGCCCCUCGAUGGUUUUGUUUUGACCUAUGUACCGGGCCCGGUCAAAACUAAGUUGAUGUGUUCAAUUAAGUUCUUUGUCAAACAAAUCGAAAAUCGGGAAACAAACUNNNNNNNNNNNNNNNNNNNNNNNNNNNNNNNNNNNNNNNNNNNNNNNNNNNNNNNNNNNNNNNNNNNNNNNNNNNNNNNNNNNNNNNNNNNNNNNNNNNNNNNNNNNNNNNNNNNNNNNNNNNNNNNNNNNNNNNNNNNNNNNNNNNNNNNNNNNNNNNNNNNNNNNNNNNNNNNNNNNNNNNNNNNNNNNNNNNNNNNNNNNNNNNNNNNNNNNNUACUUGACCCGACCCGGCAUGGUCCAUUUGGGUUGCAUGGCACCAUGCAAUUGGAUAAACUAAAUGAGAGAAAUAACACAUAUGGUUUAUUAAUAUAUUAUAAGUUCUAAUAUAUUAAUAAUAUUGUUUAAUUAGUUUUGAUCAAGAAUUAAUUUAGAAUUAAUUCAGUGAUCAAAAGAUAACUAAUUAGAUAUAUGGGUAGAUUAUGUAAAUCUUCCAUAUCUUAUAUAGUGGGCUAAGAGGUUCCAUGGAUUGUCAAGUUGGGUUUCACCCAUACGAUGCUCCAUGGAGUUAACCCAUGGAUCAAGAAAUGAAGAGUCAUGGAACAUUAUGGUUUACCUAAUGUCACACACUAUAUAAGUAAUGUAACUCUCCCCAAAAUCAGCUAUACUAAGAAACAAGAGGGCUUGGCCGAUUUUGCAUGUGUUAGAGUAUUCUCUCAAGUUUAUUCUUUGCAUUUGGUGUUGUGUGAAGUAUUUGAGGCAUCACACUUGAGGUGCUAGGCUCACACGGUUUCAAGGAACACUUUCAACAACAAGGUAUGUNGAACACUUACAACAACAAGGUAUGUAGUUCUAUCUACUAUUCAAGUUAAUAUUGUUCCCCAUGUAUGCUAGAUAGGAUCAUAGCCUUGGAAAUCAACUUUGCUUGAUAAUUAGACAAACAUAGAUCCAAGGUUAUUAGGGUUGCAUGUACACUUAGGAAGUGCUAGAAUGCUCAAAACCCAUCACUAACAAGGUUCGGUUGACCCAACCUUCUUUCGAAAGAGAGAGGAUAACCACCUUAUGAUAGUCCAAAUUUAUGUUGGUGACAUCAUCUUCGGCUCCACGAAUCCCAGCUUAACAGCUGAAUUCAGGAAGUUGAUGAAAACUAAAUUUGAGAUGAGCUUAAUGGGUCCAAUUAACUUUUUCCUUGGCUUAAACAUUAGACAGGGACCCGAAGGCAUUUUUAUCAAUCAGGAAGCAUACACCAAGACACUAUUAGCUAAGUUUGGUAUGAUGGGAGACUCCAAAGUUAAAGUUCCAAUGGCUUUUGGGACAAAGCUUACACCCUCACUAAAGAAGCCAGCCGCUAACAUGACGCUCUAUCGUCAAAUGAUUGAGUCUCUAAUGUAUCUCACGGCUAGUAGACCUGACAUCAUGUUUUCAGUCUGUUACUAUGCCAGAUUCCAAGCUAACCCACGCGAACCUCAUUUGCAAGCUGUGAAAACAUCUUUCGCUAUCUGAAGUGAACCUUCUCUCUCGGUCUGUGGUAUCCAGCCAACUCAGGAUUCUUUGUCCAAGCAUUCUCAAAAGCCGACUUAGGCGGUUGUGAAUUAGAUCGCAAAAUCACCACUAGAGGAUGCCAAUUUCUCGAUGGUAAAUUGGUUAGCUAGAAAUCAAAGAAACAAACUUGUGUUUCUCUCUCCACUACAUAAGCUGAAUACAUCGCUACAGCAUCAUGCACAUCUCAGGUUGUAUGGAUACAAAGUCAGCUUAGAGACUACGGGCUGAACAUGAAGAAAAUCCCACUAUAUUGAGACUCUGAAAGUGCAAUUAGGAUUUGUCACAACCUAGUGUAACACUCGAAGACUAAACAUAUAGCACUGAGGUAUCACUUUAUGAAGGAUCACGUGGAAGAUGGCAACAUGGAAAUUCAUUUCGUAUGGACGACUGAUCAACUAGCAGAUAUAUUCACUAAGGCUAUACCUGAAGCAAGCUUUAACAAGAUUUUGAAAGUGCUAGGAAUGAUGGAAGAAGAAUCAGUACCAAAAUCGCCUCCGCUUCAAUAAAGGUAGGAAGCGAAAUAAAGCGAACUGAAAUGAACUAAACGCUCGGUCUAUUUCGGGUUCGGUCUAUUUUGGGUGAAGCUCGACCAAGAACCGAAAUGAACCGAACGUUCGGUCUAUUUUGGGUACGGUCCUUCUGAACUUGUUCGCUUCUUUUUCUUAUCAAGGCAUUUUGAUUGUAUGUACACUCUUUUAAAUACUUCCUUUUACAUUCAUAAAACCCAAAAAUAUUUUUUCUUUUUUGUUCAAAUAAAUAAUUUUUCACAAAAUACAAAAAUAUUUUUUGUUUUAAUUUAUUGAUUUCUUUUGCAUAAGUGUUACUCUCGAUGAUGAAGAUCCAGAAGGUAUAAUUUCUUUCCUAUACACAUUCUACAUGUCCCUAGAAGCAUGCUGCUGCAUGUUGAUUAAAGCCUCGACAGAUUUUGAGUGAAGCCUUAAUAACAUGAUACAUACCAAUCAUAUUUUCCCAAGCUAGGCUGCUAUAUUCACUCUAAUCAUGAGCUACCUCACUCUACUCAUAUUGAGCAUAUAGUUUUCUACUUACUCCUUCUUUUAUAGCUGAGGUACAUUUGUUUCUUAUACCACCUCCAUCAUUUUUCUCCAUUAUACUUCAUCUCACCAAUAUAACCCUUGAGACUCUUAGCAUUUACCACUGAGGUUUAUGGUUAUACAAAAUUAUGUGUUAAUGAUCUUAGUUUCGUGUCACUAUGUACUAAGUGAAACCCACCAUUCAAUACCAUUAAUGCAUUGACGGUACAUGAACCAUAUGUUACAAAUGAAAUCUCUUUUUACUUUGAGUGAUUCUUCUGAAAAUUUCUAUUACCAAUAAUUUUUCUUCCCCAAGGGUCCAGUUAAUUUUUUUUUUUGAGAUUUCUCACCAAUCCAAUAGUCAAUAAAAAUCCUUCCUACCUACUUGUUCAACAGAUCUCAUUGAUCUCACAAGUACUUCAUUCAGUUUUGGUCUUAUAUCAAGUAUCGAAAUUAUGAAUUGAAGCGAAAGCCACCCUUUAGAAGCUUUAAUUAAAAAGAUGACUUUCAAUACUUCUUAACAAGUACUUGAUCGUUAUUUAAUGGGAAGCCACACAAGCACUUCAAAGUCUCUCUUGACUUUGAAGGAAGCGAUUUCUGCCCAGAAUCAGUUGCUUUAUGUCUUUUUAAGACAUCACAAAUAAUCACAAAGAGUUUGCUUUAUUUCUUUAUCUUUUACACUCUAUGCACGAAAAUUUCUGAUUUUCCAAACUCUUGUUCUAUUAAUGGUGCUCUAAUUGUUCCAGCUUCGUUUCUUCAACUAUUACAAUGCUCGAUAAAGUUAAAAAGCAAUGAAGGUUCAUGUGAAAUAUGGGGUGACGAUUGGGAUAACGUUAAGGCUGACUCAGCUGUUAUCCAAUCGUUUCGACGAUUUGAAAAAGCACUUUUUAUGAAAUGGCGUGUAAAAAGGAAACGUCCUUUCUCUUUCCUGCAUCAUCAUCGGGUAUGCCAACUGUUCAUCCAUCAAAUCAGGUGCAAUUUUCAAAUAAGUCCAAUAUAUCAACCGGAUUUUUCUCUCUCCUACUAGUACGUAUAAAAGGAUCCGGCACGCUCCACUUUACCCUUUUAUCACUUACAAAACUCUCUCAAAGAACAAAGGCGAAUCAUCUUACUCUUCAUCUUCUUCUCCAAGCUACUACAAUGGCAGACUCCUCUUCAGUUCAUGAUACCUCUGCUCAUCACACCCUCCUCACCAUCAAACCUCAACAAAACCUGAUCAUCAAUCUCACUCCCUUCAUCUAUGAACCCUAAAUGGUGUAUGUUGUCGAGUGUCUCAAAUACUCGCCUCUUGUCGAUGCUUUGUCUAAGGUCGAAGUUGUUCCCAUGUCCUGCCUCUCACUCAUCUACUCCACUGCUCACUACGACAAAGUUGUUGAGAGGAUUGACUUUGAAAUCCACAACGAGAAGACUUCCAUCUCCAAGCACCGCUUUUGUGCCCUAAUUGGUCUCUCUCAAGAACCAACCUUGGUAAACCCUAAAUCGAUCACCACUGGUCAACUGUUCUCAAUGUUUUAUCAAAUGGGGUAUACUGAAACCCUAACCACCAUCACCAAGUUCAAGAAGUCCUGCCUUCCUCCUCAAUGGAAUGGCCUAUUUACUCUACUGUUCAAAGGACUCUCUGAGCGAAGCGUCGGCUCAAAUGGAGCAAGCAAGUCAUUUAUCACUAUGCUUUAUAGUUUAUAUCAUGGGAUAGAUUUGGACUAUGGGUCCAUCAUCUGGCAACAACUGGUCCAAAGCUUGUAUUCUUCCUCUAGACACUCAGAAAUCUCAUGUGCCAGGUACUGGUCCAUCAUUACUAAGUGGGCAAUGGAUCAUCUUCACGUUCCAAUCAUGGCGGAUUCUCUUCUCUCCUCCAUCGCCACCUUUCACACAACCAAGAUAAUCGUCAUGGAUCCCACCAAGUACUCCUUCAUUGGAUCCAUUCCUGAUACUAUGCUUGCCUGUGUGUCUACAACAAGUAAUUUUCUGCAACAACACAGGAAGAUUCCUAUUUCGGGUCCAAGGGAGCUCACGCCAGCCAUGGUUCACUCCAUUGAAGAGCCUGACAAGCCAGCGAAGAGGGGAAUGAAAACUGAGACUCAGAAGGAGGCAAAGGUUGCUAAACCAACUAAGGGGCAAACCCCUAAGAAGCGAAAGUCUGACAAGGCUGCUCCGUCACAGCCUCAACCAAAGAAGCAGAAGAAGCCAUCUCGGAGACUCAUACUCCAAUCUUCAAGCGAUUCAGACUCAGAGUAUGUUCCUCCCAAAUAUAAAUCUGCUCCUCCUUCGGAAUCUAAAAGAGAGAGCUCUGAUGAUGAGGCUUCGGGUGGUGGUGACACCCCGCCUCGCUCGCCUACCCUAGAAAUACCAGUUCGCUCCCUACCUCCUUCUCCUCCACCUGUUACCAUCCCAAUAUCCAUCCCUCGAAUAUUUCCUAUCCCUACAUCUCAAUUAGGACCAGGAUCGUCAAUAAAAAAAAUUAAGCUUAUAAAAACUAAAAAACCUUCACUCACGUGGCUAUAAUUGCAAAGUGCAUACUUUAAGGUUACACAUGAGUGAGGUUGCAUGGGCUUAGGAUUUAUGAUUUCGCUUUAGGCUAUUUUCCUCAUUUGGAUGUGGGCAUGGAGUGAAGCUACAUAUCCAACAGUCCAUUCAAUCUCAAUUAUAUUUAAAUCGUAUACACUAGGUAAUUAUAUGAGGACUCGGUGUAGGUCUUAUCGUAAAAAUUUCUCUUUACAUUCAAAUUUUAUAUAUAAUUCUCUUAUCACUAUUCUCGAUCAGACAAAAUGGCAGGAUUUCAUAUCCUCGGGGAUCCCUACUACCCAAACCAAGGCAAUGGAGGUUGGAUUGAGGAGGAUCCAUAAGAGGAUCCCGAAGAGGUUUCCGAGGAAGAUCCAGAAGAGGAUCCCGAAGAAGAGGAAGAGGAAGAGGAUGAUGAGGGCACUGACUCAGAAACCGAGGUCUACAAUCCUCCCUAGAAGGCACCAAACCCCCGAUGGAACUUUCAGGGUCCGACGCCCCUCUACGCCGUAGAUCUGAAACGAUGGAGCAAGGAACAAGGACAACGUCCACCCUACGACAUGGGACAAGGCAAUUAUAUCCUCAGUAAGGGAGGUUCGGCUGAUAGAGCACUCCAUGUCAUGGUUCGUUGCAUUGCCAAUCAAGGCGAUCAAGCAAGGGUAUACGCCAACCAAAUCAUGGACGUUGAUGUCACUACCCAAAUCACGGCGGUACGUCUUCGUCGCCUAGACGAAGAACAUGAUCGAACCAUAGAGCACACAUUUUCCCUUCAGAAGGACAUUACCGAUGCUAGAGCUGAGCUAAGGGAGUUCCAGAAAAACCAAGCCGCAAUGGAGAGGCGCAUCAUCGAGGCUGAACGUCAAGUAGCUCGAGCUUGGAUUUCCACAACAACAUACCAUGGUCCGCAGCUUACCACUUGCUGGGAGUAGAGCGCGUACUUCUUAUGUUAUGUAUAGACUUAUCGAGUGAGCGUUAGUGCUACUCUUUCCUUUAUGUAUGUAAACCUGACGGAUUGUGAGUACACAAUUUGAGGGCCUGAAUGUUGUCAAAUUUUCCCAUUUUCAUUGAUGUACUCUAGACCUGUGUUAAGGUCAAAUUUUCCUGAUCGAUGUAUCGAAUAUUAAUAUCAAUGACAUUGACACGCAUUUAUUAUUUCAUUAAGUUCUUAAAAUACUAAGGAAAUCAUGUACUUAUUAUUGUAAGUUUCCAUUUCACAAUUAACUUACAAAUUCGGUAAUGUUCAGAACAUAACGCAUAUAAUACUAAGACUUUCCAUAAUCAUUUCUGAAGACUUAUCAAGAAUUCAUCGUUUAUCUUAUGGCAGAAUCAUGCCGCCAGGAAGGAAUCCCCGACGCUUCAAUAAUACAAGAACACCAACACCACCUCCACCAUCACCCAUAUCAAUGGAAAAUGCGAUUUUCCAGGUUGCCAUAACAACUGUUGUUACAUCAGCGAUGGCCCAAAUGAGUAACAACGGGUCGGGAGGAGGAAUAAAUAGCUCUACUAAUGGCCAACACCAAGGUCCUUAUGGGGAAUGCACUUACAAGGGCUUCACCAACAACAAUCCCAUAUCCUUUAAUGGGACUGGAGGAGUUAUGGUUAUAUCCCAAUGGAUAGAGAAAACGGAAGUAGUAUUCGAGAUCUGCUCAUGCCAAGAUGGGAGCAAAGUAAAAUUUUAUUGCCUGUACUUUCUCCGAACGAGCCCUAACGUGGUGGAAUGGCCACGUCAAGUCACUAACUAUGGUUGUGGCUAACUCCAUGGGAUGGGAAAACCUGAAACAAAUGCUCAUGCAAGAGUAUUGCCCGAGAGGAGAAGUAUAGAAGCUCAAACAAGAGCUUUGGGGCCUUAGAAUGGUAGGCUCGGACAUCACAACCUAUACCAAUAGGAUCAGUGACUUGGCAAUACUUUGCCCGUGAAUGGUUUCUCUAGAGAGCAAGAAGAUCGAUAGAUAUAUCUGGGGACUGUGACCCCAGAUUCAAGGAAGUGUACUAGCUUCCAAGCCAGUUACUUUUGAUAGUGCCAAACAACCGGCAUAGUCCCUCUUUGACCAUGGUGUCUACCAAGGAUUCAUGACUGCAGUUCCGAAGCAACCCAUAUAGAGCAACAACAACAACAACCAUACCAACAACAACAAAAAGAAGAAGUUUUGGAACAAAAGGAAAGGUCAAUCUUCGCAAGAACCUUCCAAGAAUUAUCAGAUAGUGGCAGUUCAUGUCGCUACUUCUCCCACCGCUGAUCCUGUCACCCCUACACCAGCAAAGCUACCGAAGUGCAACAAAUGAAAUUACCUUCACAACGGAAAUUGUCGGGUGAUGCAUUGUAAUAACUGCAACAGGAAAGGACACACUGCCCGUUUCUGUAAGGCACCGGCACAACCAAUCACCCAAGUUCCUGGAGUCGAGGUGGGCUAGGCGUGUUAAGGGUGUGGCGAAGCUGGGUACUACAAGAGAGAUUGAACUAAGUCAAGGAAUGCUAGCAGUAUAGGAAGAGUGAUGGCAAUAGGGCAGACGAAGCAAUAGCUGAUCCCACGGUGGUUACGGGUACGUUUCUUCUCAAUAGCACUUAUGCAUGCAUACUUUUUGAUUGUGGUGCAGACAGGAGUUUCUUGAGCAAUGAAUUCAUACACUUACUUAAGCAAAAACCCGAAUCACUUAAUAAGAUAUUUAUAGUAGAAAUGGCAAACGGUAAAACAGAAAUAACAAACGAUAUGUACAUAGGCUGGAUGCUAGAUUUAAAUGAGCACUCGUUCCAAAUCGAUCUAAUUCUAAUCACUAUAAGAAGCUUUGAUGUCAUCAUCGGUAUGGAUUGGUUAAGCCUUCACCAUGCCGAUAUACUUUGUCACGAAAGGACAGUUCGCCGUAGUUUACCAAAUGGCGAAAUUGUUAUUAUUUAUGGUGAUAACCCAAUACAAAUUUACAAAUCAUCUUUUGCGUCAAAGCCCUAAAAUACAUGCACAAAGAAUACCAUGCUUUCCUAGCACACGUGGUAGAUAAGGAAAAAGAAAUGAAAGAUAUCAAAGACAUUCCAGAAGUAUGCGAUUUCCCCAACGUCUUCUCUGAGGAUCUUCCAGGAGUUCCACCACAACGUCAAGCUGAGUUCAGAAUAGACUUGAUUCCCGGAGCUACCCCAGUAGCAAAAUUGUAGUAUCGUCUAGCCCCGGCAGAGAUGCAGGAAAUAUCCAGCCAACUAAACGAGCUACUCAAUAAAGGAUUCAUCAGGUCGAGCUUCUCACCUUGGGGAGCACCAGUCCUAUACGUAAAGAAGAAGGAUGGAUCUUUCUGCAUGUGCAUCGACUACUGAGAACUAAACAAGCUCACGAUCAAGAACCGAUAUCCCCUACCGCGCAUAGACGAUCUGUUCAACCAACUCCAAGGAGCAAGGUAAUUCUCAAAGGACGAUUUAAGAUCCGGGUAUCAUCAACUGCAAGUCCUAGAAGGAGAUGUUCCCAAGACGACCUUCCGAACUCGUUAUGGUCACUACAAGUUUGUAGUGUUGCCCUUUCGAUUAACAAAUGCAUCGGCGGUGUUCAUGGACUUAAUGAACCGAGUAUGUCGUUCUUUCCUAGACAAAUUUGUAAUCGUGUUCAUAGAUAAUAUACUCAUCUACUCGAAGAGUGAAGAAGAACAUAGUCAACUCCUCCAACAGAUCUUGGAAACAUUAAGGACAGAGAAAUUAUACGCAAAAAUUUCAAAGUGCGAAUUUUGGAUUAAAAAAGUAGAUUUCCUUGGUCAUGUGGUCAGCAAAGAAGGGAUACACGUGGACCCUUCCAAAAUCAAGGCAAUCGAGAACUGGUUAGCUCCAAGAACUCCAACGGAAAUCCGACAAUUCUUAGGCCUUGCUGGCUAUUACUGAAGAUUCAUAAAAAACUUCUCAAAGAUUGCCAAACCACUUACCGCCCUGAGUCAGAAGGUUGUAACCUACAACUAGGUAGAAAAUCAAGAUGCUACGUUCCAAACACUAAAACAAGCCCUAUGUAGCGCACCUAUAUUAUCUCUGUCAGAAGGAACAAAAGACUUUGUGGUCUACUGCAACGCAUCAAACCAAGGUCUAGGAUGUGUUCUAAUGCAACGUGGAAAGAUCAUCGCAUAUACCUCAAGACAAUUCAAGAUGCACGAAGUCAGCUACACUACCCACGACCUGGAACUAGGAGUAAUCGAUUUCUCCCUAACGAUCCGGAGGCACUAUCUCUAUGGCAUGACAUGCACAAUCUUCACCGAUCAUAAGAGUCUUCAGCACAUUCUCAACCAAAAAGAACUCAACAUGAGACAGAGACGAUGGGUUGAACUACUGAGCAAUUAUGAAUGCGAGAUUCGUUAUCAUCCUGGAAAAUCUAAUGUAGUAGCUGAUGCUCUCAAUCGAAAGGAAUACUCGGGCCACCGAGUGAAGUCCUUAACCAUGAAGAUCCAUUCACACCUGUCCACACAAAUCAAGGAAGCUCAAAUGGAAGCCUUGAAAACAUAAAAUGUAGCUGGCGAAGCCUUACGAGGAAUGGAUAAGAAUCUUGAAGUCAAGAGUGACGGAGUUCGUUACUUUAUGAAUCGAAUCUGGACACCGAAGUUUGGUGGAUUCAGAGACAUUGUCAUGAAUGAGGCUCUUAAGACUCGAUGCUCCGUGCAUCCCGAUUCUAACAAGAUGUAUAUGGAUCCCAAGAAAUUGUAUUGGUGGCCGAACAUGAAAAUCGAAAUUGCUGCCUAUGUAGGCAAGUGUCUGACUUGUGCCAAAGUCAAAAUAGAGUACUAAAAUCCCUUGGGAUUGUUACAACAACCUGCAAUACCCGAGUGGAAGUGGGAGCAGAUAACUGGAUUUCAUAACGAAGUUACCCAAAACGGCGGGCGGACUUGACACCAUCUAGGUGAUCGUCGAUAGAUUAACCAAAUCAGCACACUUCCUACCAAUAAAGGAAACUAACACUAUGGAGAAACUAGCUUGAACAUACAUCAGAGAGAUUGUGCGAUGACAUGGUGUACCAAUAUCCAUUAUCUUUGACAAAGAUAGUAGAUUCACCUCACAGUUCUGGCAGUCACUACAAAAAUCUAUAGGGACGAGACUAGACAUGAGUACCGCUUACCAUCCACAACCCAACAGUCAGAGUGAAACGACCAUUCAAACCUUGGAAGAUAUGCUAAGAGCUUGUGUGAUCAAUUUUGGUAAGGCAUGGGAUACCCAUUUACCACUAGUCGAGUUCUCAUAUAAUAAUAGCCAUCACACCAGCAUCCAGGUUGCUCCAUUCGAAGCCCUCUACGAUUGCAAGUGCAGAUCACCUCUGUGUUGGGUUGUAGUGGGUAACACACAACUAGCUAGAGGACAAAUACCCGACAGCACUCUCACAGGCCUGAAAAUUAUAAAAGAAACGACCGAAAGGAUUGUCCAAAUUCGGGAACGACUAAAAGCUUCAAGAGAAAGACAAAAGAGUUAUGCGGACAAAAGACGGAAGCCUUUGGAAUUUCAGGUUAAGGACCGAGUGCUAUUGUUUGACAUCCCGAAAUUUAGGGUGAAAUCUGUAAACUGUCAGAUCACCGCGAACCUUUUCGUAUCUCGACGGAUCAAAUUUUAAUUCAUAUUAUUGUAAAAGACCAAUUAGGCGCGAAACUUUAAACGUAAAUUCUCAGAGUUAUACAAUUAAAAAAAAUUAUACGUUUGGGUUUUUAGAAUCCUAGAAUAAAAAUCUAUCGAUCGAAACCAUCAAAAAAUUUCUUGACAUAGAGAAUUUGACAUGUGAAACGAUAUCCGUUUUAAGACUUAAUGAGAUUUUACACUUUGAUAAUAAUAAUAAUAAUAAUAAUAAUAAUAAUAAUAAUAAUAAAUGAAAUAUAAAAGUCAAGGGGUCAUAUUGUNUAUAUAUAUAUAUAUAUGUCUAGGGGCAGAUUUUUAAUAGGCUGGGACUGGAAAAAUCCGUUAAAAAUUCAUAACUUCUUCAUCCGAUAUCUGUUUUCAUCUGUCUUUCACUGUUGUACUAAUAUUGUUGAGAUCUCCGAUUCUCAUUUAGGUUGUGUCGGCUAAAAAUCACUCGAUCUUUAUUUCGAGUUUUUAGCUGUCUACCGUUAUAUCCGAAACUUCGAAAAAUCAUAACUUCCACAUACAAAGUCAGUUUUGUACGUUCUUUUUAUGUAUGCUUACGGUUUAAUGAUAUCUACAACUUUCAUUUAGAUACCUAAGGCUAAAAAAUAUUUUAUUGGAAUUUCGGAUUUUAUGCUUAACAAUGUUUUCCCGGUUUUGACACGGAUCUUUGAUCGGUCAUGACUUCUCUCUUAUAACUCGGAUUUGAGUGUUCUUUAUAUUUUUGAAAACCUUGACAUGAUAACUAUAUAUCAUUUUAUGUAUCCUAAUUGAGACUUUUGAACAUGUCAUUUCUAACGCUAUUUUUAUUUAUUUAUUAAUUUAAAAUAGAUUAAAAUACUUGACUUAGGUCAUUACAUUGACAUGAAAUAUCGGGUUGUCACAUCAUCCCCCGUUAUAUAGAAUUUUGUCACGAAAUUGAUUCUAAGAUAAGUAUUUAUCGACUACGGAAAAGAUGCGGGUACUUUUUUCAUCUGAUAUUCGCGCUCCCAGGUGUAUUCAGGUCCUCGCUUUGCAUUCCAUCGGACCUUCACAAUGGGUAUGGAACUUUGUUUUAUUCUUUUAAUUCCCUAUCCAUGAUUUAUAUUGGUUAUGCUAUGAAGUGGAGACUCUCGUUGAUUUCAAUUUCGUCCAAAGGGAUGAGAGGAUCUCAUUGAGCAAGCACUUCUUUAAGUUUGACACAUGAAAGGUAGGAUGUACAUUAUUGAUUUCCUGCAGUAAUCGAAGCUUGUAAGUUGUCGGGCCGAUCCUAGCAAGGAUCUCAAAUGGUCCCAUAUACCUUGGAUUUAGUUUCCCACGUUUUCCAUAACGUAUUAAUCCCUUCCUGGGUGAGACCUUCAUUAGCACUCGGUCCCCAACCUGAAAUUUCAAGGGCUUCCGUCUUUUGUCCACAUAACUCUUUUGUCUGUCUCUUGAAGCUUUUAGUCGUUCCCGAAUUUGGACAAUCCUUUCAGUCAUUUCCCUUAUGAUUUCUAGGCCUGUGAGAGUGUUUUCGGGUAUUUGUCCUCUAUCUAGUUGCGUGUGACCCACUUCAGGCCAACGUAGAGGUGAUCUGCACUUGUGACCGUAGAGGACUUCGAAUGGAGCAACCUUGAUGCUAGUGUGAUUGUUAUUGCUGUAUGAGAACUCGACUAGUGGUAAAUGGGUAUCCCAUGCCUUACCAAAAUCGAUCACACAAGCUCUUAGCAUAUCUUCCAAGGUUUGAAUGGUCCUCUCACUCUAACUGUCGGUUUGUAGAUGGAAAGCGGUACUCAUGUCUAGUCUCGUCCCUAGAGAUUUUUGUAGUGGCUGCCAGAACCGUGAGGCGAAUCUACUAUCUCUGUGGGAGAUAAUGGAUAUUGGUACACCAUGCAGUCGCAUGAUCUCUCUUAUGUAUGUUUGAGCUACUUUCUCCAUCUUGUCAGUUUCCUUUAUUGGUAGGAAGUGCGUGGAUUUGGUUAAUCUAUCGACAAUUACCCAGAUGGCGGCAAGUCCGCCCCCCAUUUUGGGUAACUUGGUUAUGAAAUCCAUGGUUAUCCGCUCCCACUUCCGCUCGAAUAUUUCAGGUUGUUGUGACAAUCCUGAGGGCUUUUGGUACUCUAUUUUGACUUUGGCACAAGUCAGACACUUGCCUACAUAGGCAACAAUUUUGGCUUUCAUGUUUGGCCACAAAUACAAUUUCAUGAGGUCCAGAUACAUCUUGUCUGAAUCAGGAUGCACGGAGCAUUGAGUCUUAUGAGCCCCAUUCAUGACAUCAUCUCUGAAUCCACCAAACUUCGGUGUCCACAUUCGAUUCAUGGAGUAACGAACUCCGUCACCCUUAACUUCAAGAUUCUUAUCCAUUCAUCUUAAGGCUUUGCCAACCACGUUUUCUAUUUUAAGGAUUCCAUUUGAGCUUCCUUGAUUUGCAUGGUCAGGUGUGAAUGGAUCGUCAUGGUUAAGGACUUCACUCAAUGGCCCGAGUAUUCCUUUCGACCAAGAGCAUCAGCUACUACAUUAGAUUUUCCCAGAUGAUAAUGAAUCUCGCAUUCGUAAUUGCUUAGUAGUUCAACCCAUCAUCUCUGUCUCAUAUUAAGUUCUUUUUGGUUGAGAAUGUGUUGAAGGCUCUUAUGAUUGGUGAAGAUUGUGCAUUUCGUUCCGUAGAGAUGGUGCCUCAAGAUCUUUAGGGCAAAAACGACUGCUCCUAAUUCCAGGUCGUAGGUAGUGUAGUUGACUUCGUGCGUCUUGAGUUGUCUUGAGGCGUAUGUGAUGAGCUUUACUCGUUGCAUUAGAAUACAUCCUAGACCUUGGUUUGAUGCGUCGCAGUAGACCACAAAGUCUUAUGUUCCUUCUGGCAGGGAUAAUAUAGGUGCGCUGCAUAGGGCUUGUUACGAUGUUUGGAACGCAGCGUCCUGCUUUUCUCCCCAGUUGUAGGUUACACCCUUCUGAGUCAGGGCGAUAUAUGGUUUAAAAAUCUUUGAGAAGUUUUGUAUGAAUCUUCGGUAAUAGCCAACAAGGCACAAGAAUUGUCGGAUUUCCGUUGGAAUUCUUAGAGCUGUCCUGUUCUCAAUUGCCUUGAUUUUGGAAGGGUCCAUGUGUAUCCCUUCUUUGCUGACCACAUGACCAACGAAAUCUACUUUCCGAAUCCAAAAUUCACACUUUGAAAAUUUUGCGUAUAACUUCUCUGCCCUUAAUGUUUCCAAGACCUGACGGAGAUGUUGACUAUGUUCUUCUUGACUCUUCAAAUAGAUGAGUAUAUCAUCAAUAAACACGAUUAUGAAUUUUUCUAGGAAAGAACGACAUACUCGGUUCAUUAAGUCCAUGAACACCGCCGGUGCAUUUGUUAAUCCAAAGGGCAUCACUACAAACUCGUAGUGACCAUAACAAGUUCGGAAGGCCGUCUUGGGAAGAUCUCCUUCCAGGACUCGCAGUUGAUGAUACCCGGAUCUUAAAUCGACCUUUGAUAAAUAUCUUGCUCCUUGGAGUUGGUCGAACAGAUCAUCUACGCGCGGUAGGGAAUAUUGGUUCUUGAUCGUGAGCUUGUUUAGUUCUCAGUAGUCGAUGCACAUGUGAAAAGAUCCAUCCUUCUUCUUUACGAAUAGGACUGGUGCUCCCCAAGGUGAGAAGCUCGGCCUGAUGAAUCCUUUAUUGAAUAGCUCGUUUAGUUGGCUGGAUAAUUCCUGCAUUUCUAUUGGGGCUAGACAAUACGACGAUUUUGCUACUGGGGUAGCUCCGGGAAUCAAGUCGAUUCUGAACUCGACUCGACAUUCUGGUGGAACUCCUGGAAGAUCCUCAGAGAAGACGUCGAGGAAAUCGCAGACUUCUAGAAUGUCUUUGAUAUCUUUCGUUUCUUUUUCCUUAUCUACCACGUGGGCUAUGAAAGCAUGGUAUUCUUUGCACAGGUAUUUUUGGGCUUUGACGCAAGAGAUGAUUUGUAAAUUUGUAUCGGGUUUAUAACCGUAAAUGAUAAGAGUUUCACCAUUUGGCAAAUUAAGGCGAACGACCCUUUCGUCACAAAGUAUAUCGGCAUGGUGAAGGCUUAACCAAUCCAUACCGAUGAUGACAUCAACGCUUCUCAUAGUGAUUGGCAUUAUAUCGAUUUGGAACGUGUGUUCAUUUAAAUCUAGCUUGCGGCCUAAGUACAUAUCGUUUGUGUUUUCUAUUUUACCGUUUUCCAUUUCUACUAUAAAUAUCUUAUUAAGUGAUUGGGGUUUUAUUUAAGUAAGUGUUUGAAUUCAUGGCUCACGAGACUCCUCUCUGCACCACAAUCAAAAAGUAUGCAUGCAUAAGCGCUAUUAAGGAGAAACGUACCCGUAACCACCGUGGGAUCAGCUAUUGCUUCACUCUGCCCUAUUACCAACACUCUUCCUAUACGUCCAGCAUUCCUUGACUUAGGAAAAUCUCUCUUGUAGUGCCCAGCUUCGCCACACCCAGAACACGCCUGGCCCAGCUUCGCCACACCCAUAAAACGCCAGCAUUCCUUGACUUAGGGCAAUCUCUCUGUGACACCCCCAAACCAGAACGGCGGAAUCGUUCGAGGGUGCAUGACUUCAUGUAGUAUCAUGACAGUUAAGUAAAUAGUAAAGAAACCAAACACAAUCAUCAUAAAUAUAACUUAAAAAGUUAUAAAGUUGAUUGUAAUACAUGUUUCAAAAGAAAUUACAUUAUGAUGAUAUAAUAAGUUUGAAAUUUGACGCCUUAGCGUUCCUUCCCCAAAAGUUUUUGGUUUACAUGUAUUACUGAAUACCUGAGAAAUACAAGUAGUUUUGAAAAAGUGUCAACAAUUAAGUUGGUGAGUUCAUAAGCAUUUUUGUAUAAGAAUUAUAUGCCUUUUUGUAUAAAGUAACCGAGUUUGUUUCUAGAAAAUUCAAUAUUUUCUAUAAAUGAAUGGUAGUUUUUAAAAGUUCCAAAAACCGGAAUGCAUAAGUAUUUUACAUACCUAAAAUAGUGCAAGUAGAUUUAUAUAUGUAUAUAUAAUCACUAAGGCGUUUGAUAGCCCCAUAAAUCAAAUGUUUUAGUACUUCAUGUGAGUUUUAUAACCGUACUAUUGUCCCGAAGUGCCUGUCACAAUGUUCUUCAGGGGUUGGAAUGAUAUGACUUUUGUCACCCCAGACCUGCCGGUCCAACUGUAGCUAACAGUUUAAGUGCGGGAUUGUCAAUCUCGUAUAGAUUUAUACACAAUUAUCACGCUCUCCAUACAGGAGACUAUGAUUUUUAACACAGGACUUAAAAUGUGUACUUGAAAGUAUGUGAAGUUAAAUGUCUCAUAAAAGUUUGUAUCAAAUAGAAAUACGUAUGAAAAGUCCAUUUUUCUUGUAAAUGUAAGUAUUUCCUUUCUAUAGUGUUCAUAGAGUGUAAAAUAUCAUGAAUAUCUCGUAAACUAUACCUAUUAUAGUUUUUCAAAAGUGUGUUUCAUUUGAAUGAUAAACCUUAGUGUGUUACCAACUUUGCAUGUAAAGUAUAACAUUUCUAAUAACAUUAUUUUACUUAUUUAACAUUUAUACACAAAAUGUAGAUAAAGCAUUUGAAACGGUAUGUAACGAUUUACAUUUUAACAUAUGUUUUUCUUGCGUUUCACUUGUAUUUCCACUCUCCUCCCCUAAAAUAUAGUAAAAACGUGACAAUAUAGGGGUAUGAACUCACCGGGUAAGUUUGAUGAUGUGAAGAAAACGAGACCUUUCUCGGGCAGCACUUAGACCGAAAAGAAAUCGAUUUCUCGGAAAUCUCGGGGCUUCAAACUUCCGUCAGGGCUUGGAUAUGAAACCGAGAUGUCGAGAUAGUCUCGAGAGGGUAGAGGUAUGAAAUUUGAGGAGAAAGGUGGUAAAUUAGCAAUUAAAAUCUGGAGCCUUCACACUCUUUUUAUAGUGUUGGACACAGCCUCGAACGCAGGGGCGUUCCCUAGAAGAAAGUGGGGCUUUCCCUCGCACUUCUUGGCUUACGAACUUCGGACUCAACAAGUGGAUGGGACUGGCUAUGGGCUCCGAACGCGGUGUGUUCCCUUCGGACCAACCUCGAUGUUUGUCCCCCAAUCUUUGAAAUUUCAUAAUUGUCACGUACGAGCUCCGUUUUCGACGUUCUUUAUAUGCUCACGAAGGUGAGAAUAUACUCUACAACUCUCGUUUAGUCUUCCUCGGUGAAUUUUGACUUUAUUUUUAAUGUUAUAUUUUUAAUAGGCUGGGACUGGAAAAAUCCGUUAAAAAUCCAUAACUUCUUCAUCCGAUGUCCGUUUUUGUCUGUCUUUUCACCGUUGUACUACUAUUGUUGAGAUCUUCGAUUCUCGUUUAGGUUGUCUUGGCUAAAAAUCAAUCAAUCUUUAUUUCGAGUUUUUAGCUGUCUACCGCUAUAUCCGAAACUUCGAAAAAUCAUAACUUCCUCAUACGAAGUCAGUUUUGGACGUUCUUUUUAUGUAUGUUUACGGUUUAAUGAUAUCUAUAACUUUCAUUUAGAUACCUAAGGCUAAAAAGUAUUUUAUUGGAAAUUUCCAUUUUAUGCUUAACAGUGUUUUCCCGGUUUUGACACGGAUCUUUGAUCGGUCAUAACUUCUUAGUUCUAACUCGGAUUUUGAGUGUUCUAUAUUUUUGAAAACCUUGACAUGAUAACUAUCAUUUUAUGUAUCCCUAUUGAGACUUUUGAACAUUUCAUUUCUAACGCUAUUUUUAUUUAUUUAUUAAUUCGAAAUAGAUUACAACACUUGACUUAGGUCAUUACAUUGACUUGAAAUAUCGGGUUGUGACAUGUGCGGAGUAAGAGUAUCUAGCAGGAAUCUUUUAGAGAGAGAGAGAGAGCUUUGAGUAGAGGAGUAAUCUAGAAGAGGUACCUAAAUGAGCAUUGGAGGAGCCUACUGAGAGAGUAGUUAGAUACUCGUGAGGGGUAGAGUUGCUUGAGUUCGGUGAUACCUCUUAAGUGUGAGUAGAUCAACUGAAGUAGUAACCUAUAGUGGUUUUACGUGCUGGUGGAGAUUAUUCGAUGCCCGAAUGCUGCUUGCUUUAUGCUUUGUCGAACUCUCGAUGAUAGGAGUCAGCUACUAAUGAAUACGAAGAUAUUCAGGAGUAGAUGGUUGGCAUCAUAAGGAGUUCUUCAGCAGCUGAUGACAGAGAAGCGUGAGAACCUAGGGAGAGCCUAGGGAGUGACCUUAGUCAGAUGAGUAUGUUGAUAGAUUAGAGUAUUUGCUGGGGAGCGACCAGGUUUAACGGGAUUGGUGGUCGAGAAGGUUGAGCAGCCACUUAGGAAAUCUAGGAAGAUCUGUUUGGAAAGUAUGGGUAGAUUUGGAAGGUAGUAUGGGCCCGUACUAAUGAAAGCAGAGAACCUGUACUCAAAACAGGGAGAGUUCUAGAGGUUCUAAGUAGCAGAUUGAGAGGAAGUAACAUAGUUCGGGUACCAUGAUUUAUAGCAGAUUGAGAGGAGAUAACAUGGUUCAGGUACCAUGAUUUAUACCAGAUUAAGAGGAGAUAACAUGGUUCGAGUACCAUGAUUCAUAGCAGAUCGAGAGGUGGUCACAUGGUUCGGGUACCAUGAUUUAUAGCAGAUUGAGAGGAUAUAACAUGGUUCGAGUACCAUGACUCGUGGCGGUUAGUGCUUCUGGUUUUACUAGUUACACGGUUGUGAUUGAUUAGACUGAGAUCAUAUGUGAUAGAGUGUGGGGCCAGAGGGCCACGUUGAACGAGUUUCAAUGGAGCAUACCUUGAGAGGGAAAUCAAGUUAGUUCCCGAGGGAUUUUUUGUGAGAUGCUAGUUGGAGUCGCAAGACUCAGGGAUGAGUGGAGAUGGUGCUUUACGGAGGAUUAUGGUCUGAGUUUAGCAAUCGGACGAUAGUGGAGAUGUAACUCUCUAUGACCAGAGUUGUGCUAUUUCCAUUUCCUAUGAGAAGUAGAAGAGAUAUUGAGCUUCCGGUUUCUAAGCUUGGAAGUAAACCCUGUGGGGUAGCAUUGGUUGCAAUCUUUCACCAGAGUAUAUAUGAAAUAUGUCUGCCACAAGGUAAUAUUAUAGCAUGAGAGGGUCAUCAUUAGGGCAUAUGUUAGCAGCAGUGUCGGGUGAGCAAGAGGUGUAUGUUGGGGAGGUGGCUCUCAUUGUCUAUGAUGGAUAUCGAGUGUGGGGGUGAGGUCUCUACUCUCAUGAUAAUUCUCAUGAUGGGACAUUGGUUGGGGGGUCGAAAAUGAGGAGUCUGAUAGUUCAUUAUUUUUAGACUGAGAGUCAUGGCUACUACGGGACAAUUGAGAUGUCUGGUAGUGUGUCAGUGUGAGAUUUUGGAUGACAUGUUAGGAAGUUUUUCGAGGAUUUUAUCUAAGAUUCAGGAUGUUUGGAGUUGCUUGGUCUCUAUUGGGAAGAUCAUCGAGUGUUAUGUGGUACUUUCCAAGAGUAAGUGUAAUGUACCUGGCGGAGCAAUCUGUGGAAUAGAUUGUUGGUGUGCCGAAUGGUGAUGGUUCGAGCCCUGAGUGGGGGAGAACUGGGUAUUUUAUUGAGAGUAUCAUAUAUUUGUUCAAUAGUGGUUAGAGGAUUGGAUAUAGUGCCCUACGGUACGGAUACAAGAGAUCAAAGUUAUCGGUGGUCUAGGCGAGGCGUAGAGCGAGAUAAUGCAUGUUAUAUGUGUUCAGGAUAGGAUGAGUGUCUCCACAGCAGGUAGCCGUUGGUCAGAAACCUUGUGGUGGUUAGGAAUUCUUCGAGGUUGUAAUGGUAAAUUUGAGGAGGGUGGCUCGUAAGGAUACUUUUGGCGGUUGAGAAUUUCUGCUUCAAUAUAUGGGUUGUUAUAUGCACUCUGGGAAGGGUAGAAGUGAUUAGGCAACCAACUUCAGGGCCAGUAUGUGUAUUCUUCCAUGUGUUUUGAGCAAUAGAGGAGGGAGUUUCGAAUGGUCGUCAACGUGUUUUGAGUCAUUGACGAUUGCUCCGUGUUUCAAUUAAGAGUUGGAAUAUUCUGAAGUUACGAUUUGUGUGAGAGGAAGAUUAUGAGAUUCUAAAAGGAUGCAUUGUUGUAUCUGAGUAUGAUGUCGUAAAUAGGAGAUCAGUGGUUGAGGCAACACAUCGUGAAGUUCUGUGAUGUUGUACCGAGGUAUCCGAGUAGAUUGCCCUGAAUUUCAGAUUAUUUUGAGACUUGAGUUAUGAGAUGGAAAGUGAAGUAUCAAGUGACUAUGGUUCCAGCGGGGGCCCUUCAGUUAAUUUUCAUCAAACGGGAGUAUCCAAGAAUGUGAAUUGCAGCGAGAAAAGUGUUGGCCACGACGGUUAUCGUCAGGAAUGGUGAUGCUUAACCUGGGUGGGUAUGUGUACCUAUCUAUGUUGAGCGGUGGAGUAUUCGAUAGUGAACUCAGCGGGGUGAUGACUCAAGAGGGGAUUAUAGGGAUAAGAGGGUAAGUGGAUCCGAGUGGGAGUAAUCACUUCAGAUUAUCAGGGGAAAACCAUGGAGUGAGCCCAUGGCGAGUCAGUGAGAGAGAUUGUUGUGAUACUACGGGGAGCCAUAGUACUCACCAGUCUGCAAGAGAGUGUUGUGAUACUACGGAAAGCUGUAGUGUUCACUAGUCAACAAGAGAGUGAUGUGAUACUGCAAGGAGCCAUGCUAUUAAUGAGUCAGUGAGAGGUUGUCGUAGGCCUACGGGGAGUCGUAUUAUUCUCUCCUCAGAGCAUGACACAUAAUAGGUUUUAGGCUUGGUAGCCUUAUUCUUUGAGUUUUGGGAACCUGGUGGUCGGACCAGGUCUAACAUCCCGAAAUUCAGGUAAAGCUAUUGAACCCUUCUCCUUUUCCCAAGUUGCCAAGUUAAGUCCCUUAAGUAAAAUGUUAGGCUAUUGAGUAUGUUGGGUGUACUGAGGAGUACGCUGCGCAUAUUCGCGCGCUUAAUUUGGACGCGAACUCCCUGGGUACGCUGCACAUACCCAGGGUUACGCUGGGCGUAGCGAGCCCAAGUGUAAACCCUAAUUUGGGGCUUAUGCACUAUAAAAGGAAUGUUAUGGCCUUGACCUGAGCCUCCAUUCCAGAGAGUGACACCCUAAUAGAGAGUCCUCCUUCAUUUCUAGCUAGUCUGUUGAUUUUCUAAGAUUGUAAGUGUCAUUUCAAGGUGGUGGAAGAGAAGAAGAGGCCAUUUUGAAGGCUAGAAGUUUGUGGGAAAGAGUAGAUCCGAUCUUUUCAGAGGUUGGAGCUUCUUCCUGAGGUAAAAACUUCAAAACUGGCCUUGUCAUUUGUGUUUUGUGCUUCUUGGACCAAUUUCUAGGGUUUUUGGUCCCAAGAUGGAGACUUUAUGAGCAAAUGGUCUCCAUUGGCCUAGAUCUAUCAUAUUUCAGGACUAUAUAAAUUGUAUGUUCAUAAAAAUGCAAUCUUGGACGUAAAUAUUGAGCAAUGCGUCAGAUCUAGACCUUUGGAGGAGAAAGGAAAGGUGUUAGAUGGUGUAGGGACCUUUACAGCCAUGAAAAGGCUUAAAGGUUCCGACUUUAUGGGAUAAGAGGCUUAAGGAGAGUCAAAUCUGGAAGUUGAAGGAGUGUCUUAACCGUUUAAGACCAAAAUCCAUGGAAUGGCUGAAACUGAGACUUACGUUGGGCGUAACUCUCAAUACAUGUAGCGAAAGGGGUUGAGACCCCGAUUGUGGUUCGUCGGCGUACGCCUCACGUACAGAGAAGGUACGCGCCACAUUCUGCCUCCUGUUGACUUUCAUUGACUCUUAGGGUUUUGGUCAACCUUUGGACUUUUGGGUCAAGGAAGGGUAAAAUGGUCUUUUACCCUUCUGUGGAAAUUGUAGAGUGGAUUUAAUCUAGCCUUCGAGAUCCGUUAUUUAUAAGAGAGCAUUGUUAUGAGUUUAGGCGGGGGCUAGACCAGUGUGUUCGAGUGGGAGACUAUCCGAGAUACCGAGGUGAGUAUUCUCACUAUACUGUACAUGGAAGGGUACCUAUGUGUGACCGGAAGGUCUUGUAUGCUAUGAGAUAUAAGUGUUAUAUGCUGAUAUGUGAUAUGUAUGUGUUAUGUAUGCUAUGUAUGAUAAGGACCGGAAGGUCAAUAUGAUACGGACCGGAAGGUCAAGAUGACAUGGACCGGAAGGUCAGGAGGUAUGGACCGGAUGGUCGAUAUGGGUAGGACCGGAAGGAUUAUCAGGAUUCGGGACGGAAGUCCCCUAAGACACUUGGACUGGAAGGUUCCACAGAGUUAUGGCCUGGAAAGGCGUAUGUGUUGUAUGUAGUAUUUUGGGGAACUCACCAAGCUUUUAUGCUUACAGUGUUGUGUUAUGUGCUUCAGGUACCAGUGAGGAUCGCGAGAAGGCGCCGGUUGGAUCAGUACACACAUGUGGAGUUUUACAUAUUAUGAUCUUGGGAUGUGAUGUUAUGAGUUGUUAUGUGAUACAAUGACAUUUUUUGAACAAUUAUGAAUGAAACUGUGUUUUUAAAAUGUGAAAAAUUGUUUUGAAAUUUACGUUGUUAUAAGUUGGUAUCAGAGCCUUGGUUUGAGGGAUUCGGGUGCAACUUCGGAUGUAUCUGAACUCAAACUGAGGAUUUGAGAAAGUUUUUCAUAAGUAAACAAUUUUUCUAUGAGAGUAAAGGAUUUUGGAAAAAGGCAGAACGGAGCAGUGUGUACGAUAAGCCAGUGCCUGAAUGGUGAUUUCCCAAAAUACCCUUACAUUGUGUGUUAUAAGAUAUGUUAUGAUAUGGUAUGCAUGCUAGAGUAGGCCAGGUAUUCAUAUUAGGACUAGAGUGGCCUGAUUUGUGAUGCCUUAGCCUAGGAAGAUUUAUGUUGCUUGAGAGAGAGUAGAUAGCAGUGAGGAGCUUAUGAGAGGUCUACCGAAGGGUAGCCUAUGCUAGCGAGGUGUAGAAUACUUGUGAUCUGGGAUCCAAGGAGGAAGACUUGGGUUGAAUACUGACACGGUGUGGGUGGUAGUAUAAGGGCCUGUACUAGUCCAAGUAAGAAUCCUUAGGGUACUAGGGAACAAGUAGGGAUGUGUUAUCGAGUGCGAGUAUGCUCGAGCGGGUCUCUGAUAUUUUAUGUUGUAUUUCACAGAGACAUCAUGGUUGGGACACGCCACACACCUGAGAGCAGUGGUGUUAGCGAGGAGGAGAUCUGUAGGCUGAUUCAUGAGGAGGUGGAUGCGGCCAUCUGAGCCGAGAUUCCAGAGAUGUUUGGGUCUAUCAAGAUCAUUGAUUGAGACCUUCGAUGAGCGGUACGCAUCAGUGACUGAGGUUGCGGCUGCUACAGCUACUGCCGCUGUUGCUGCUGCCAGGCCUCAGGGAGGUGACUCGUUGUUGUUUCGGGAGUUCGGCAACACGAAGCCACCAGAGUUUGAUGGAUUUUUGAUAUUGAGGGAUGCUUCUACAGUGUUCUUGUCCGGAGCAUCUGAGGGUACGGUUCGCACUGAACCAGCUUGGCUUGGGAGCGAAGGAUUGGUGGAAGUUCGUGACGGCGAGCUUCACUCUUGCGGAGAUUUCUGAGGUGACUUGGGAGAGGUUCACCACCAUGUUCAGAGACGAGUAUGACUCCCCUGUGGAGAGGGAGCGGUUGGCUCAGGAGUUCUUGACCAUGAAGCAGGGUAUUGAUUUGGUUACUGUGAUUACCAGGAAGUUUCAUGACAGGGCGAUGUUCUGCCCUGAGCAGGUGUCUACCGAGCAGGCACGCAUGAGCCGAUAUUUGAGCAUUCUGAGGAGGGAUAUUCGGGAGUUCGUAUCGAACUCGACUUACCAGACAUUUGUUGAGCUUCAGGCAAAUGCCCGGAAGAGGGAGAUUGAGUUGGAGACUCAGGCCAGGGAGGAGGUCGAGUCUCAGGGGAUGGAUAGGCGGNAGCCAAUCGGGCAAAGCCCGCUGAUUCGAGAUCUGGAGGCCAGAAGGGCCUCACUUGCGGAAAGUGCGGCAAGGGACACGAUGGGGUUUGUCGAUAUGGUGCUUGCUACAAAUGUGGCAAGGAGGGGCAUAUAGCCAAAGAUUGCCCCAAGGGAUUCAUGGUUUGCUUUCAUUGCAACCAGACGGGCCAUCGAAAGGCCAAGUGUCCACAGCUACGGGGGACAACAUAGGGAGCACAACAGAGAUCUGCCCCUGCCACCGUGCAUGCUAUUGAGGUUCGGCUGGUGAAGGCCGAGGCACCGAAGGCUCGUGGGAGAGCCUUCUAGUUGACAUCGGAGGAGGUCCGUGCAACGCCCGAUGUCGUGGCUGGUAUGUAUUCUUUCAUUUAUUUAUGUUGAGUUUGAGGUGUUGUGCUUAUAUUAUGAUAUGCAUAGGUACUUUUCUUGUGAAUUCUAUACCUUCUUUGGUGUUAUUUGACUCGGGUGCGAGUCGGUUAUUUGUUUCCUUGGAAUUUAGUCAGCACAUCAGUAUCCGACGAGAGGCGUUGAGUCGACCUCUGCGAGUUUCUAUAGCUGAUGAGCGAGCGGUGUAUGCUACAGAUGUGAUUCGAGGAUGUAUACUUGAGAUCUUUGGUAUGGAGUUCCUGAUAAGUCUGGUCCCGAUUGCGAUGGGGGACGUAUGUGUCAUAGUGGGCAUAUUUUGGUUGAGCCGAUUUGGAGCUGUUAUAGACUACGAGCAUCAGUUGGUGACGAUACGAGACCCAAGUGGGGGAGUACUUACGGUGUACGGUGAGGGUACCUGAUGUGGGUCAGCAUUUUGUUUGGCUGCCAGAGCGAGAAAGAGUUUGCAGCAGGGUUGUAGCGGGUUCGUGGCCUAUGUGAUGGACACACGAGUAGUCGUUGAGAGGCCAAGUUCGAUUGAUGAGGUUCCAAUAGUGUGCAAGUUCCCAAAUGUUUUUCCUGAGGAAUUGUCGGGUGUGCCUCCCGAGAGGCAAGUAGAGUUCCGUAUCGAUUUGGUUCCGGGGGCAGCGCCUAUCGCCAAGGCGCCAUAUCGCCUUGUGCCGCCAGAGAUGCAGCAAUUAUCCUCUCAGCUUCAGGAGCAUCUGGGAAAAGGGUUUAUUAGACCUAGUAGCUCACCUUGGGGAGUGCCGAUCCUUUUUGUCAAGAAAAAGGAUGGUUCACACCGGAUGUGCAUUGAUUACCGGGAGUUGAACAAGUUGAAGAUCAAGAACCAUAAUCCGUUACCGAGGAUCGACGAUCUGUUCGAUCACUUGUAGGGGGCGUCUUGGUUCUCCAAGAUAGACUUCAGGUUAGGAUAUCAUCAGAUGAGGGUUUGGGAUGAAGAUAUCCAGAAGACAUCGUUUAGAACUCGUUAUGGGCAUUACGAGUUUGUGGUGAUGCCUUUUGGGCUCACCAAUGCAUCGGCAGCGUUCAUGGAUCUCAUGAACAGGGUGUGCAGGCCGAUGCUGGAUCGGUCGGUGAUCGUGUUCAUUGAUGAUAUUUUGGUGCACUCGAGAUCUAGAGAGCAGCACGAGGAGCAUCUGAGAGAGAUUCUCGGAGUAUUGAGAUUGGAGAGGCUUUUCGCCAAAUUUACCAAGUGUGAUUUUUGGUUACGAGAUGUCCAGUUCUUGGGACACCUCAUUAACCAUGAUGGGAUAUUGGUCGAUCCGGCCAAGAUUGAGGCGGUUAUUAGAUGGGAGGUGUCGAGAUCACCCACCGAGAUUAGAAGUUUUCUAGGAUUGGCCGGCUAUUAUCGGAGAUUUAUCUGUGAUUUCUCCAAGAUCACCGUGCCUCUCACCAGGUUGACCCGAAAGGGUGUUGCUUUUUCAUGGGGUCCGGAGCAGCAGAGCUCGUUUGAUACACUUCGCCAGAGAUUGUGCGAAGCCCCGGUGCUAGCCCUCCCGGAAGGGAUGGAAGAUUUUGUGGUGUAUUGUGACGCAUCGAUAUCGGGGUUAGGUGCAAUACUUAUGCAGAGGGGGCAUAUAAUAGCAUAUGCGUCGAGGCAGCUGAAGCCUCAUGAGACGAGGUAUCCCACCCACGAUUUGGAUUUGGGGGCAGUGGUGUUUGCCCUCAAGAUCUGGCGUCACUAUUUGUAUGGGGUUCGGUGUACCAUCUACACGGACCACAAGAGUUUGAAGUAUUUGAUGGACCAGCUCAAUCUGAAUAUGCGCCAGAGGAGAUGGCUGGAUGUGGUAAAGGAUUAUGAUUGUGACAUCCUGUACCACCCGGGCAAGACUAAUGUCGUAGCUGAUGCCCUGAGCCGUAGGGCGGAGAGCGCCCUGAUUCGAGAUAUUUGUAUGCGGUUGACAGUGAUGACUCCGAUGUUGGACAUCAUUCGGGAGGCCCAGGCAGAGGCCAUGAGACCGGAGAACCGUAAGAGAGAGCGGAUGAUUAGGCAGGUGUCAGAGUUCAUUACUGAUAGUCGCGGGCUGAUGACCCUCCAGGGUCGAAUUUGGGUGUCGUUGCAGGCGGGGCGCGCAUCACCUUGAUGGAGGAGGCGCAUAUAUCGAGAUUGUCUAUCCAUCCUGGGGCCACUAAGAUGUAUUUGGAUUUAAAGGAGUAUUGGUGGCCAUGUAUGAAGAGGGAUGUAGCAUGGUUUGUUGAGAGGUGCAUAACAUAUCGCUGGGUUAAGGCCGAGCAUCAGCGACCACAUGGCAUGUUGUAGUCACUUGAGGUUCCCCAAGGAAGUAGGAACAUAUUUCUAUGGAUUUCAUCACCAAGUUACCGAGGACCAUGAGGGGUUUCGAUGCAAUUUGGGUGAUCGUCAACCGGCUGACGAAGAGCGCUCACUUUCUUGCUAUCAGUGAGAGCUCUUCGACUGAGAGGCUGGUAAAGUUGUAUGUGAGGGAGGUGGUAUCGCGGCAUGGAGUGCCGAUCUCGAUUGUACCAGAUCGAGAUAUACGUUUUACUUCUAGGUUCUAGAAGACGUUCCACGAGGAGUUGGGCAUGAGGCUGAAUUUCAGUAUCGCUUACCACCCACAGACGGACGAACAGAGUGAGGGGACGAUUCAAAUGCUCGAAGACAUGCUUCGGGCAUGUGUGUUGGACUUUGGAGGGAGUUGGGACACGUAUCUGCCAUUUGCUGAGUUUUCUUAUAACAACAGCCACCAUUCGAGCAUUGGUAUGCCUCCCUUUGAGUUGUUGUAUGGGAGGAGGUAUCGGACUCCCAUCUGUUGCGGAGAUGUAGGGCAACGAGUGAUGGGCAACACUGAGAUAGUGCUUUAGACAACAGAGCAGAUACAGUAGGUCAGGCAGAGGUUGUUGACAACUCAGAGUCGCAAGAAAAGUUACACGGACAGGAGACGAUCCGAGCUCGAGUUUCAAGUCGGGGAUUUUGUACUCCUGAAAGUGUCUCCUUGGAAAGGAGUGAUUCGAUUCACGAAGAUGGGCAAGCUGGGGCCCUGGUAUAUUAGGCUAUUUAGGGUGAUCGCGAUGGUAGGCAGGGUAGCAUAUCGUUUGGAGCUACCUGCGGAGUUGAGCCAGAUUCAUGAUACCUUCUACGUGUCUCAGCUGAGGAAGUGUAUAGCCGACGAGUCGGCAGUGGUACCGUUGGAGGAUAUCUAGGUGGACGCGAGUCUGAAUUAUGUNNNNNNNNNNNNNNNNNNNNNNNCGGAAGAUCAAGGUUCUGAGGAACAAGGAGGUGCCCUUGGUUCAGGUUCAGUGGCAACAUCAGAGGGGGUCCGAGCUGACUUGGGAACCAGAGUGGGAGAUGCGGGAGCAGCAUCCGGAGUUGUUUUCGACAUGAGACUUCGAGGGCAAAGUCUGGUUCUAGUGGGGGAGAAUUGUAACAUCCUGAAAUUCAGGUAAAGCUAUUUAACCUUUCUCCUUUUCCCAAGUUGUCAAGUUAAGUCCCUUAAGUAAAAUGUUAGGCUAGUGAGUAUGCAGGGCGUACUGAGGAGUACGCUGCGCAUACUCGUACGCUUAAUUUGGAUGCGGACUCUCCUAGGUACGCUGGGCGUAGCAAGCCCAGGUGUAAACCCUAAUUUGGGGCUUAUGCACUAUAAAAGGAAUGCUAUGGCCUUGACCUCAGCCUCCAUUCCAGAGAGUGAAACCCUAAUAGAGAGUCCUCCUUCGUUUCUAGCUAGUGUGUUGAUUUUCUAAGCUUCUAAGUGUCAUUUCAAGGUGGUGGAAGAGAAGAAGAGGCCAUUUUGGAGGCUAGAAGUUUGUGGGAAAGAGGAGAUCUGAGCUUUUUAGAGGUUGGAGCUUCUUCCUGAGGUAAAAAGCUCAAAACUUGCCUUGUCAUUUGUGUUGUGUGCUUCUUGGACCAAUUUCUAGGGUUUUUGGUCCCAAGAUGGAGACUUUAUGAGCAAAUGGUCUCCAUUGGCCUAGAUCCAUCAUAUUUCAGGACUAUAUGAAUUGUAUGUUCAUAAAAAUGCAAUCUUGGACGUAAAUAUUAAGCCAUGCAUGAGAUCUAGACCUUUGGAGGAGAAAGGAAAGGUGUUAGAGGGUGUAGGGACCUUUACAGCCAUGAAAAGGCUUAAAGGUUCUGACUUUAUGGGAUAAGAGGCUUAAGGAGAGUCAAAUCUGGAAGUUGAAGGAGUGUCUUAAGCGUUGAAGACCAAAAUCCAUGGAAUGGCUGAAACUGAGACUUACGUUGGUCAUAACUCUCAAUACACGCAGCAUAAGGGGUUGAGACCCCGAUUGUGGUUCACCGGCAUAUGCCCCACAUACAGAGAAAGUAUGCACCCCGUACUGCCUCCUGUUGACUUUCGUUGACUUUUAGGGUUUUGGUCAACCUUUGGACUUUUAGGUCGGGGAGGGGGUAAAAUGGUCUUUUACCCUUCUAUGGAAAUUGUAGAGUGGAUUUAAUCUAGCCAUCGAGAGCCGUUAUUUAUUUGAGAGUAUUGUUAUGUGUUUAGAUGGGGGCUAGACCAGUGUGUUCAAGUGCGAGACUAUCCGUGAUACCGAGGUGAGUCUUCUCACUAUACUGUACCUGGAAGGGUACCUAUGUGUGUCUAGAGGGUCUUGUAUGCUAUUAGAUAUAAGUGCUAUAUGCUGAUAUGUGAUAUGUAUUUGUUAUGUAUGCUAUGUAUGAUAAGGACCGGAAGGUCAAGAUGAUAUGGACCGGAAGGUCAAGAUGACAUGGACCGGAAGGUUAGGAGGUACGGACCGGAAGGUCGAUAUGGGUAAGACCGGAAGGUCUACCGGGAUUCGGGACGAAAGUCCCCUAAGACACUUGGACCAGAAGUUUCCACAGAGUUAUGGCCAGGAAAGUUGUGUGUGUUGUAUGUAGUAUUUUGGGGAACUAACUAAGCAUUUAUGCUUACAGUGUUAUGUUAUGUGUUUCAGGUACCAGUGAGGAUCGCGGGAAGGCGCCGACUUGAUAAAUACACACACAUGAGUAGUUUUACAUAUUAUGAUCUUGGGAUGUGAUGUUACGAGUUGUUAUGAAUGAAAGUGUGUUUUUAAAAUGUGAAAAAUUGUUUUGAAAUAUACAUAGUUACACUAGGGGCGAGACUGGGGUCUCUAUAUUUUUCGGGAAUCGUUAUAUUCCAAGUUAAGUUGUGGUUAUCGCAAUCGAAAAGAAUUGGAGAAGUGAUGUAUGAGUGGGUUGCGGGUCAUGGGUCGUGAGUUAAGUGCUUCAUUGGGAUGAGUGGUUCCAAUUCUGUGUCGGACAAGACUUUCAAGUUUGAGUUUGGCUUUGAUGGUGUAUUGAGUAGGCGAAUGAGAUUCUGCAUUCAGAGAUGGGUUUCAUUUGGAGGGGUAUUGUGUGUCAUCUGAUGUCUUAGACCUGAAUGGGUCAGUUUGUUUGUAUGGGAAGGACCACGAGAUGAAUGGAACUAAUGAUUAGAAGACGACAGAGGUCGAGGGUGAGGCGAUUUUAGUUGGGAUUGUAGUAUUCUUUUGGGGUAAAGGGAACUUCUUGACUUGUGUGUCACAUGUUUGAUUAAUGUCUAAGUCCUAACUAUAAUUGGUAAGACUUGACCCGACCCAGCAUGGUCCAUUUGGGUUGCAUGGUAUCAUGCACUUUGAUAGACUAUAAUGAGAGAAAUAACACUUAAGGUUGAUUAAUAUAUUAUAAGUUCUAAUAUAUUAAUAGGAUUAUUUAAUUAGUAUUGAUCAAGAAUUAAUCUAUAAUUAAUUAAGUGAUCAAAAGAAGACUAAUUAAAUAUAUGGGUUGAUUGUGUAAAUCAUCCAUACUUGUAUAGUGGGCUAAUGCUCCAUGGAUAAUCAAGUUGGGCUAAAACCCAUAGAAUGGUCCAUGGAUGCUCCAUGGUGUAUUUGAACGCAUGGAUCCAAGGAAAUGGAAGGACAUGACAAUUAGGGUUUACCCUAAUUGUAACGACUAUAUAAGAUCAUAUUCUUUGGGAAAAAUCGGCCACUAUGGAUAAUAAGAAAGGGCUAGCCGAUUUUAGGAGUGUUCAAGUUUCUCUCAAGUUAUUCCAAGUGUAUUUGGUGUUGUGUGAACCAUUUGAGGUGUCACACUUGAGGCACUAGGCACUCAAGCUUCAUGAAGACAUUCUACAUCAAAGAGGUGUGUAUUCUAUCUUGUUAUAUUCAUUAUUUUGUAUGCUAGAUUAGGAUAAUACCUUGGAUNACACUUUGGAGUGUUAGAAUACUCAAAACCCAACAGUGGUAUCAGAUCCUAGGUUUGUUUUCUUGUUAUAAUUGCAAAAGUAGCUGAAAAAAUCGAGUUUUGAUGUUGUCUGCACAGCAGACUCGCCGAGUCCAAGGCAAAAUGCAUCCAACUCACCGAGUUGGUUCGUGCACUCGACGAGUUGGACCCCCUGACAGCAUAUAUUCGAUUGUUUUGGCUGGAAUUGGACUAGGAACAUUACCCUAAGAUGUUUUUGGACUUAUAAACUUGUUUUUGAUGUGGUAAUGUUCAUGCUAAUCCAAUUUCUAAGAUAAUUGUCAUAAUUUCAAGAUUUGUAUUAGUUUGUAUGUUCAUGCUAAUUUCUUGAAGAUUGAUGAUUUGAAUUAUCUUGUUCUUAGAUUAAUAGAAAAGUUGUGUGAAAUAGUUGAUUUCAAUCCAUUUUAAUCUAAGAGUUGAUUCCAAAGUGUGUUUUUGUAACUUGUCCUCAAGUUAUAUGAAAAGUCACUUUUAAGAAUCAUAAAACUCAUAAAAGUUGGCAGAGGUUACAAACUGAAGAGUCUAGUUCUAAUUAAACGGUUUUAUGACUCCAUAACUUGUCCUCAAGUUAAGGAGGUUCAAGAGUCUCUUCAUUAAAUAAUAAAUAAAUAAAAGUGUAACCUUAAUUAGUUCCAUAAGUUACAAUAUAAAAAACAGGUUAUUUUUUUUAAAUUAGUUUAAAGUCUUCCAUAACUUGUCCUCAAGUUAUGGAACUUGAAGAGUUUUAAUUAAAACUACUUUACACUCAUAAGUUAUGGAAUUAAUUAGUUUUGAAUAGUUUCAAAACUUGCCCUCAAGUUUUGGAAUUUGAAAAGUUUUCACUUAUGAAUACUUUAAUUCCAAGUUAGCCCUUAUAAUUUUAAAAGUUAAAAUUCAACCCUUAUACUUUAUAAUAUUAUAAGAUAAUAAUAUUUAUAUAUAUGUAUAAGAGUAAAGCCAGUCUUACCGUUAGUAGGCCUCAUUCACGAAACCGGUUUAUAAGGGGGUAUAAGGUUACUGCCUAUAAAAUGGCAGUUUAAUGGGUGUCCACUCACCCACCGCUUCCUUGACCGGUGGAGGGUCGUUAGCCGAACGGGUAGGACAAGGACUAGAAUUCUCCCUUCAUUAAAAGUAUUAAUGAUAAAUACUAAGUAACUAAACUAUCAAAUUCCCUUUCCUGGUAUGAAACCUCAAAGUAUCUUCUACCAAAAAGGAAGAAUCAAGUGACUCUCACCCACCCAUUAAGGAGUCGCUUCGCUUCCGGUUCUUCGGAAGAAUCAAGUGACUUCUCCCAUCUUCAUUGAUCUGGGGGAAAAGGAACCAUCUACCAGUUGGGAAGCUAGACAUCAAGUAAGUGGCUUGAUGAGGAUAACUAAGCUGACACGCCGGAGUUGGCUGCUGGCACAACAGGGUGGUGCCAUACCGCACCGCAGGCGGACGCGCGGUAGCGUUCGUGGUGGUGCUUCAGGAUUCCAAUGUACUGCGUCCAAGAUCAGAACGAGCUUGCCGGCGGACCACUGCCGUCCCAUUCUUGAGUGAGCUGGAGCGCAGCCAUCUUAUCCACUGAACUAGCUAGAAGCUAUCGCUUCGGGUCGAAGCACUAAAAGAAAAGGACCGGGAAAGGCGGCGACAUAGGAACCACGGGACCCCUACUAGUCAAGGAAAAACGGAAGUGCGCUACUGCACACCAGCUGAAAAAGCCCUUUCCCUUUUUAAUAAAAAGAAGGUAAGCUUCAUAGCUCCAAUCUAGUAAAGGGGCUUUGAUGGAUGCCCUUUGUAUAGGUUGGGUUGCUGGAUACGGGAUCCUCGUAGUAGGCUGGACCAACAUCCAACCGAGAGAGGGCAGUCUUUAGAAGCAACAGGUUGGGAAACCAAGAGAACGCUUGGCCUUUUCUUAUCUUCUUCCCGCCCUAGGAGUAGGAGUAGCACAAAAAGAGGGAUUAGCAUUAUGGACCAUAAACCACUAACGCCUUCCUCGUUGGGGCUCCAUACACUGGGAAAAGGCUCUAGCGACGGGAAACCGACCACUAGUUACAAAGCUCCAAUAAGGUAUCGAGAGGGCUAUCACAGUCAAGUGCGAAAUAAUUAGCCCUAUUUGUAAAGUAGCUCUAUUCCUAUUUAGGGAGUGAAGGCUAAAAAUGGCUUUAUGAACCGUUCCGUUCGCCACGCACCGGCCCCAUUCACUUGCUUAUCGUAGAGGCUGUAAGUACACAGUGCCCCACAACUAUGAAUAGUAUAGUGGGGUUGAAAGACAAGAGUGCCCGCCCCUUCUUUCUCAAGUAGGCUACUUUUUCUGGAACACAGUCCGAGAUAACCGUAACCGUGUAUAUAUCUAAAUAUAUCUUCGAUGCGGUCUGUCCGCUUCCACCGCUCUUUCACCUCCCAAAGAGCAAAGUUGGCUUGAUGAGCGCAGAUGAGGAAGCGGGAGCAAGAAAACCAAGAAUAUCUUUCUUGUCCUUCUACUUAAGGGGCAAAGAGAAGCGCUUUUGCUACUGAGAAAGCGAACGGUCAGCGCGAAGGUUCAAGACUUAGCCGAACGUUAGCGAAGCUAGAUUCUCAUAGCGAGGCGCUUCGAGUUAGCGAAGCGCUGUAGUAGGGCCGAAGCCUUACUAAGAAGGGCUAUAAUGCUGAGCCAAGGACGCUCCGCCUUAUCUAUAGAAGCAGUCAACUGACUUCUGAACGAAUUCGCUCCUUGGUUUGGUAAUGGCUUAAUCUAUAGAUAGAAAGCCCUAUGAUGGGAAACUACCACGUUAGGUUUGGAGAGAGAUAGGACCGGUUAUAUAAUAGGGGGAGCAGAUGCAAGCUUUUUCUUUCAAUAGCCGGCCAAAUGACUACAGGAUCAUCGGUCUACUCUACCUCAAUUCACCAUUUCGAACCUUAUACAGAAGGUUUUUCCGUACCAGCUCCUUCUACCUAUACCGCAGUUGAAGCACCUAAAGGAGAAUUUGGUGUCUUUCUGGUCAGUAAUGGAAGCAAUCGUCCCUACCGUCGUAAAAUAAGAGCACCUGGCUCUGCCCAUUCACAAGGACUCGAUUCUAUGUCCAAACAUCACAUGCCAGCAGAUGUGGUCACCAUCAUAGGUACUCAAGAUAUUGUGUAUGGAGAGGUGGAUAGAUAGGACUAAGGGAAUAAUCUUCUUUGGUUCGGUAAUGGAAUCAAUAGCUUGCCCGAACAGGACCCUAGCUUUAUUGCGAGCCAAAAAUAUUGAGAAAUUUCCCUUCCAUAGGGAUCGUUGUGGCAUGAACUCAUUUCUGCCUUUCCUCACCCCGCCCUACCUUGUAACGGAGACUAAUUGGUUGAAGGCGGUGAGGCAUGGUCAGAGUGUAGGUUCGAAUCCUGCCACCUUUCUUGUAUAUCAUCCUGAAACCACAGGAUGAUGGGAAUAACAAAGCAUAAAUUUUGAAAUGAGCACGUCAAUAUAUGAAUUGUUUCAUUAUUCGUUAUUUCCGGGUCUUUUCGUUGCAUUCACUUACAACAAGAAAGAACCACCAGUGUUUGGUGCAGCACCUGCAUUUUGGUGCAUUCUUCUUUCUUUCCUUGGUCUUCCGUUCCGUCAUAUUCCUAAUAACUUAUCCAAUGACAACGAAUUGACCGCAAAUUCACCUUUCUUUUAUCAAAUCUCAGGGACAUGGUCUAAUCAUGAGGGUAGUAUUUUAUCAUGGUGUCGGAUCCUAAGUUUUUAUGGAUUCCUUCUUUGUUACCGGGGUCGACCCCAAAGCCAUAAUGUCUCAAAACGAGGAGGCCAUAGAGAAAGUCUUUUUUAUUCCUUUGUCUCAAACUUCGUGAAGAACUCCAUUCUAUCUCUCCCUAGUUACGAACAAAAAACUGGGGCUACGACCCAGUUGUACACUCCCUUCGUUCUAUGAACCCUUGUUGAUUCUGAACUUCGUUCGCGAAGGCGCCGGACUUUUGAUGGGCCAGCCCUUUUUUAUGCGCUGUUUUCCCAAAGAACUUUGCUCCUCUGGGUGCUAGGCGCUUCUGUGGUUCGCGAGAAGGAAAAAGGACUCAUCCUUUGUUGCAUCUGGCGCGAGAUGAUAAAGAGAGAGCUUCGUCUAUUGAUGAACAGCAGAUUCAUGGAGCUCUUGGCAUUGCUUUGUUUUUCUCUCCUUUCGUAUCGGCGAGUUCCGACCCUUUUGUUCGAAAUUUCUUCGUUCGUACCGAACCAUUUGCAGAAUUAAAUCCUGUUCCACAAGAUCCUAUAUCAGAUAUACAUCCUCCUUGCAUUUAUGCCGGAGACGUCGCCAGUGCUAUGGGCUUUGGCUUAUGUAGAUCAAAAAUGAUGAAUGGGAUUGUGGCACUCCACUCGCCGCCAAUGCGGAAGGAUGACGCCGAAAAGAAUGGAAGGCUCUUUCGCUCUGCUGCAUGCGUCGGAUCCCGUAGAACAAGCAAGCUCUUUACCCUAAAAUUAAAACAUAUGGGCGCAAAAGGCUAUCCUGCUCUAUUGUUACGAAGCAAUAGAAGCCUGCUUAUGUUGCUUCGACGGCGUUUCGCCUUCUCUUCGCUCUGGACAGGAGUGCUAGUGGAUACGGGGAGGGAGCAGGCAAAGCAUGUCGUUCGUAAUGGAAAGAAAGAGACCACUACUUCGCUUCUUUGUUGGAUCGCCGGCACGAACAUAGUGGUCUCUGACCAGGACCAGGAACCAAUUCGAAUUUUGAUCUUGACAUGUCGGUGUUUUUUAACCGUAGGCAUUUUGCCAGGAAGUUGGUGGGCUCAUCAUGAAUUAGGUUGGGGUGGCUGGUGGUUUCGGAAUCCUGUGGAAAAUGCUUCUUUUAUGCCUCGGGUAUUAGCUACAGCUCGUAUUCAUUCAGUAAUUCUACCCCUUCUUCAUUCUUGGACCUCGUUUCUGAAUAUUGUGACUCUUCCAUGCUGUGUCUCAGGAACCUCUUCAAUACGGUCCAGAUUGCUAGCUCCCGUUCAUAAUUUUGCUACAUAUGAUACACGAGGAAUCUUUUUAUGGUGGUUUUUCCUUCUAAUGACCGGCAUAUCUAUGAUUAUUUUCUCCCAGAUGAAGCAGCAGGCAUCGGUCCAUAUAACCUAUAAAAAAGAGAUGGUUGUGGCGUAAAGUACUCUUGUGCACCUACAUCACUCGGCUCGCGCGCAACCCCGCCCCGUUAUGUUAUAGAAGAAUUGAGCUUCUUGCUAGGCUGGUUAUUCAGAGCCAGCAAUUGGCUGUCGGAUUUCGUCCCGCAACUAGAAUAAGAUCGCUUCGGGGGUCACUGUGAUGUGGCUGAAUGUAGAGCAGCCCGCCCUUACAGCCUUUGAUCAGUAGAUUAUUUAGAACUUCGGAAGAUGGUCAAGGUAGCUUGCUUCCAAGCCACUGCACUAGAUGCGCAUGUAGUCAUAGUAGUCGGCCCACAAUGCCUCUGUUCUAUACUAAAAUACUAUUUCGUAUGAAUGGGGAAUUAAGUCGCUCUUUGAUCUGCAGAAUAAGGCCUACGAGCUCUCUCUUUUUAUGGCAGAGAUCUCUCCACACCAAGGAACCAAAUCACAAUGGAUCGAACAACUGGAAAUGAUAACAGAAUGCAUAGGUCAUUAGAAGGAGUUCAAAUAAGCGGAGAAAUAUAGUAUACCACCUUACUUCUUUCGUCUAUGAGGAAUAAAUAAAAUUGAAGAACCCGCGGAUAUGUGCAAAACUUUCAUUCUUGUUAGCCGGAAAAUGGCUCGUGGUAAAGACAAGAUAUACUUUGACCAGACGUGCUCGGAAUCUUUUUGUCGAUUCGGGGGAAGUUCUCGUACCUUCACCUCUACAAUUCGGUAAAGCGGCUUCGCCUCCUCGCUUUUGUUCAAUUAUAAAUAAAUAACCACUUUAAUGGAGAUUUAUAGCAUCAUUCAAGUAAAUACAGAUUAAGAUCGUAAAAACAUAAGCUUGUAAUAUAGCUACACCUAAUUCCAGACCGGUUAAUGCAAGAACUAUAAAUAAAGGACCAAGAUCCCCUAUAAAAAACAAAAUAUCAUUCAUACAUAGCAUAGUCCAAGCGAACCCACUUAAAAUCUUUACUAAACUAUGACCGGCCAUCAUAUUAGCAAAUAAACGUAUUCCUAAGCUUAAUGCGCGAAAACAAUAAGAAAUUAGCUCAAGGAGUACUAAAAAAGGUGCUAACGGCAGUGGGACUCCUGCGGGUAAUAAGAAGCUUAAAAAAUGAAGCCCAUUUCUUUGAAAUCCUACUAUAGUAAUGCCAAUAAAAAUGGAAAAUGAGAGACCUAAAGUAAUGAGAAAAUGACUUGUAACUGUGAAGCUAUAAGGUAUCAUACCCUGAAGAUUACAAAAUAACAAAAAAGUAAAAGUGACCAAGAUGCAAGGGAAAAACUUUUGUUUAACAUUUCCGGAAAGACCCCCUAUUUGUUCGUUUACCAGGUUAAGCACGAAAUCAUAAAUAAGCUCUACCAAGGAUUGCCAAGCAUUUGGUACUAAGUUUCCUCCUCCUUUUUUUGUAACAAAAUGAAUCAGAAGUAGGACCAAACUGAGAGUUAGCAGCAUAAACAAAGAUGAAUUUGUGAAUGAGAAAUACAAGUUUCCUAUCUUCAUAGGAAUCAAUGGGAGAAUGGAAAAUUGCUCAAGUGGGCUGUUGGGCGUAAUCGUAAGAAACACUUUUCAUUUCAUCCCUGUAGUUCCGCUUCUUGCUCUAAAAAUUAGGAAAGACUUGUCGGAAAUCGCCAGUUGGCUUGGUCCGACCAAGAAAGGCAUGGGACUCUUUGGGCAUUGCUUGGGUCGAGUGAAGUAAAGACUGGCUACCUAUAAUAUAAAGAUCCCUCACUGCACACUUUAGAUAUAAUGAAAACCUUUAGUUUAGGAGUCAUUCAGGCUAGAUCUAAAAAAAGAACAGAGCCUUCGUAUGACCCCUUUCUAGUACCCUAUCUUGAGCAGGAAAGUGUUCAGUAGGAAAAGACUGGAAGAAAUGGGAUUCGAACCCAUGCAUGAUGCAAUCUUCUUGUAUGUCGAUUUAGCAAACCAAUGCCUUAAGCCCUUGUGCUAUCCCCCCAUGAUCAGAUCAGAUAGCCCUUUGGGCAACCAACCCAUUUCGCUCUAUCAUUUCUUCUUUCUUUCCUAGCCUACUCAAAAACUAUUUAGGAAGGGCUACCGUUAUAUACGCAAUUAAUAAAGGAUGCCGAAUCAUCCACCGAAUCCUAUGUUUCAUCCUAGUUUAUUUGAUGUGUAUACCUGUUUUUCAGUUGGCCUCAUGUAUAUCUAGGCCAAUGUGUCUUAUUGGGCUUAGUAUGUGCUUAGUUUCGGUUAAUCCUUAGGCUCUUUUUGAUUACGUAGAAACUUGGAUUAUUUUUAGCCUUUGUAAUCGUAAUCUAAUUUCAAUAAUUUUUUCCAUAGGUUAGUUUCUUUAUUUUAGAGCUCGGGGAGUGUCUUGAGUUCUUUGUUUGGUUGCCUGGGGUGGGGUAUGCCCCUUCAUUUAUGUUUACUUCGGGGGUUCUCCUCCAUCGGUCAAUGUAUUCUUACUUACCGAAAAGAAAGACUAGUUAGGUACCGUAGGUAGAGCAUAUUCCAACACUUCGGAUAACCACUUGACAUUGGCACCUUGGCCAGGUAGAUCCGUCCCACUCUCCGGACCUCACCUCUGCUUUUUUGGAGUACGGGAUGACUCGGAUGGGCAGAUAAAACAGAACCUGUCAGUUACGCCUUUAGGGGCCGCCACGUAUAGCUUUAGUUUAUGCUGUAGCAUCGGUUAUUGCUCUGGUUACGAAUGACCCAAUCUAUCUAUGGCAACCACCCCUACUUUUAGUAGAUGGAGAUGCGCACCUAGGAAAGCGCGGAAUAGACCUACGUGUCGGCCAGUGCCGGGGCAGAGAUAGGGACCAUGAAAGCAUGGGAUUCAAUCGAACCUUUUCGGACAAUUCCUAACGCAGAAGAGGGAUGCUAAUAAGCUGACAGCUCAGGCAUGGCUUCAAUAGCGAAAGAAGUUCUUUCUGAUUUGAAUCAAGAAAGACAAUGAAUUUACGAGAUCUUGAUCCGUUCAGUGCCUUCACUUGUGAACAACAGGGACCCAUUCUGUUGAUUGCUUCUCUGCCCCAGCUCUAACAAACUGGUUUUUCUUUCUCACAGAAUUAGGGAAAUCAUUAGAUUCUUCUUCCUUCUUUCGGUAACAUAUACCGAGAUAGGCUGGGAAAUCCCCCUUCGAUAGACAGGUGGCAACUUGACCUCUAAGUAAGGACAGGAACGCCCGUGCCCAAUCAAACACCACAAUCAUGAAAAGCACCUGAACCGAGACCUAAAGCUGAACCGCUGAAGGAACCUCUUUCCGUUGUUAAAGCAAGUACGCUUUUCAAGCUUUUUCCUUACUCUUACUAAAGCAGGCACACGCAAAACUCUCUAUUUGGCUUUUCACUGAAACCAAUACGUCUAAACAUAAGGUAGGUGCUUUCACGACUCACUAAACGGGGGAUCAAAAUCUUUGCGCAGUAGAGGCGGAGGACGAAGCGAAUGUAGAGGACACAGCAUAUCCAGGGAAGGAAGAUGGACUGGACUCACUCUCAUUCAUGGCAUGGGCAAAAGCAGCCCUAAUGACUUUCAGUGAAGAUAUGCUUAUACGGCGAAGUCAGUCACAAAGUCUAUGUUCGUAUGCUUUCACUCUAAGCCGACCAUCCAAAAAGGAUGUGCACAAUUGAUCAUUGACCGCAGUCUUCUCUUUUCUCUCCCAAUGUGGGGAACUUUUUUCGGUUUUUUUCUCUUCAGCACAGCACUCAAUGGUGAUGCAUGGCGUCAUUACUGAAUCCUUUCAUUGACCUUUCUUUUCUAUAACGAAAAAAGCCCUCCUCUCGGUGAUGUGGGUGAGAAACCCAAAUCAGAAAAGCUCAGCAAGCCAAUGGCUCAACGGUUCUCACCACCCUCCUCUGGCGCAAACACCGUUUGCUGCGCUGCGCUCAUCACGAGAAGCCGGGGAACUCUCUUGGGUGGACUUCAAGCGCGAUGAUAGUCAGUCUGAAGUUUUCUACUAUGCCAUCUUUAUUAGUUCAAAGACCGGGCUUGGGGGUUGGUCUCAGUGGUCAAUGAAAAUGUACUAGUGUGCUGUCUUAACAUGCAGAAAUUUUAUUAGACUGCUAGCUUUACCAGCGGUAGGAGGGUGAAAAGACAGUGCAUGAGCGAAGUACGAUCCUCUUUUUUUGUAUCCCAUCGACGAUAUUCUUUGGUUUUGGUACAUAACAAUUUGCAUACGCAAAGUCGAAUAUUUGUUGCAAAUCUAGAUCCUGCACUCUCAUCUCUAGUCUCUAGCUAUCAUCUUAAUAUAUUAGUCAAGCCAUAUCUUGUACUUUCUUGGGCCUAACUAAGAAAAGAGAACAAGAAAAGCAAAAGCAAAUACGAAUUUCAGCCAGGCUGCUUCAUUCAAGUCUAGGACUUAGACAAGACUUAUAAAUCGAGUAGUUAUAAAGCAGUUUAAUCGCAUUUAUCGUCUCUCACUUAGCUCUGAUCUGGUGUCAUCGCUCACAGUCCAAGAAGAGUAGUCCUUUCAUUGGCUAGUGGGAUUACGCUUAAUGGGAUAGACCGAUCAUCGCUUCCUUCCUCUACUAGUUCUGGAGUCAAGCCCGCACAGAAGUAGACUCCUUCCUUUUUCACUGGCUAGCAUCAUAGGGAUAUUCGACGUUUAAUGAGAUAGUCUAGUUCUAGACUAAAGCUAGCAAAAAACAAGACUGAGGUCGAUAGGGGCAUUACUAGUAAUUGCUAAGGUGCUUUAUUAAGUAUUUUCCACGCUCCUCUCCAGUCUCUUUCCAGCCUUUGUGAUUUCAUAUAUUAUUCCCAUAUGCCAUAUCUCUUAUUCAAUCUUGCUAUACGUCCAAGCUUGGUAGUUGGAAGCAUAACUGAGACUGGAUGUGACAGGAGGAAAAGGGAGAUAGGUGUGAUAGGAGGGCACGGUUAAAUAGGUAAGCGAAGGCUCUCUCUCGCUCUGUGGUCUUGUGUGAACUCCUUUCUGCCCAUUAUUGAUCUUCACUCUAAGUGAGCAGGUCAAAGCAGUUGAGGUGAUAGCAAUAGUAAGCAGGGAAGUAGAAGCAAAAGGUCUUCAAAGAACUUUUGUGUAAUAAAGCUCCUUGGUCUCAUUUCAUUGGUCUCUAAGGCAAAGUCUCGCUUAAUCGUUCAUCGAUCUUUUUCUGUAAGGCCUCGGGCCCCACGAAUUCCGAUUUCUGUUUUUGUUUGUAUUAAAGUGUUGGUAGCUUCUAGCCUCGAGCUGGAAAGUCUCAUCGGCGGGGGUACUAUAGAUAUAUCAUAACUCUCUAAUUGAGACUCAAUCUAUACAAUCAAUCAAUCAGUAUGUGCAAUAUACCGGUCUUUGCGAUAUGCUCUUUCAAAUAGAUCACAGAUCUUCCCGCUUAGCUGCACUGCUCUCUGAGCUCUUUUGUCCGCUAUCGCUUCCUCUAGUACUAGCUCUGAUCUCUCUUCAGCAGUUGCAGUACGAUUCUUUAAUUCAUCUCCUGCCCUUUAUAGUCGUAAUCGCUAGAAACUCUAUAUCAUUGGCAAUUGGCAUUGGCGUAAUCUUUUUUCUCCUGUCGGAAGGGGGUCCUGUCGAAAGCAAGAAAAGGCAUUGCAAAUGGCGUGCCCUUACUCUAAUUCUAAAUAAAGCUCUUUUGCGCUCUUGGUCAGGCCUGUAACAAGUAUCUAAAAAAUCUUUUCUUUUCGGCCUAUGGUUCGGUCAAAGCAAUGACUUGAGUGAGUAAGGAAGUAGGACCUUUUUACCCCGGCUGUGAGUUAUUACUGACCCCUCUCUGUCUCUCCCCCGCGCUGUGAAUGAAGUGAGUAAUUCGUUGGUGCUUGCCCUUCAGUAAGUAGUUCGGAUGGCUGGAUACAUGCUACGCUCUGCCACGCUUGCCUGACCGCGAGAAGCCUUAGGGUAAAAUAAUCUUGAACAGCAAUUUGAGAGCAUCUUUGGAAUUGAAAGAAGGGGCUAACCUGACUUUCACUUUCAUAAAAAGAGAAAACUGGACUUGCACUUUAAGAAAUGGAAUUGCGAUGAGCCAGAAGUUAGAAUCUCGCCUAACCACCUGUCUCCGUCUCCCGUAGUUCCCCCCAGAAACAUCCGUUUGCCUACUUCUACUCUGGCCGGGGGUAACAGUCUUUUUGAGAACCAAGUGGCCCUUGAGGAAGACCUUCAGAAAACCCCUCUAACUCGGGGAAAGGAAUUCAAGCCCAUAAAAUGAGUCAAGUCUAUGAUAGGUACCAAUAGUCUUUACGGCACUCUUACCCCUUAUGCAAAGCACCAAUGACUUCGGUCUUCUGAAAGGGGCUUAGAGCAUAUCAUCAAAGAAAGAAUCCCAAGGAAGUGGGUGAAGCUGAGGUUAGAAAUGGUUUCUCCUGCUGUUGCUAGUUCUUUCGUUGUUGGUAGUUCCUCAGGUCGGGUUGUUUAUUUUCAGAGCUUUUUCAAUUCUUUCAGAACCUUUCGUAUGCGCCUUUUGGAAGAUUUGGGGUACCUCCUCUCUUUCCGAUCUCAUUCAAAUAAUAAGCCAGUCCGGUUUAUUAGAUAGUGAAUUGGUAAGAGAGGUGCUUGGUCUGUCUCCGAAUGUGGGCCUAGAAGCACUAGCCGAGUCUCUGAAUAUUCCCGAGGGUUCUCAAGGAUAAAGAAGCCUUAAGGUGCUAACGGAGCUUCCACGGUCUCAGUCCAUGAAGGUGCUUGCUUUAUUGGUUGGCAGCUUGGUUAUAGUCGUUAUGAAGAAUGAAGGAGCGAUGAAGGAGCUCACUUCCAUGACAUGGGAAAGGAUCAUGGGAUGAGGAAAAGAAAGAAAAGGUGCAAGGUGAGGAGAUAUCGAGAGGUAGAAUAGGUGAAAUGAGUUCAAAGGAAUUAGUUAAGACACGCUUCUUUAGCACAGGCCACGGAGUGAAGUUGGAAGGUUCAAUGAACUACGCGAAGGGGAAAUCUUGGGCGCUAUUGUUGUCUAUAUACAAGUGGCGUAGGCGAAGCUGUGGCGACUCGUGGAGUAGACAGCGAGCUCCGCUUGAACAGAAAGCAGCAAGCUGCAAGCACUACUCCAAAAGCAGUGAGCUCCACAACAAAAGCGAAGCGAGCCGUGGUAGCCUAUUAAGUUUUUCAGCUGCAUCGUACCGUACUAUGGAAGGGGUCUGUACCUCCUUUAGAUAGAUCCCCCUGCUCCUAAUGUAGAGCUAGAACUACUACUACCGUGGAAUCCGCAGUCACACAUAAGUAUCUCGCCUUCCAAAAAAAGCGGUUGCUAAUUAGCACUAAUGCUAAUGGGGACCAUCGAUCAAGAAGGACUUCGGAGACUGCAAUCGAAUUGAUCAAAAAAGAGAAAUAGGGCCAACUCUUCUAGUUGCGCCUCUAACCUUACUACGCUACCCUGAUAAAAGGUCGAAUUCAGCAGGACUGCAGGCACGAAAUGCUGAUCAAAUCCGUUAAAGGAAGCCUAAUCAAAUCGGGCAAACAAGAAGAUCUGACUGAGUUGAUGAUGGACCAGAUCUCGAAAGGCGAGAGGCUUUCAUAAAGACGUAUGAGAAACGGAGGGUCGAGAGAGGCUUAUUGCACGAUCCACCCAACCGCUAAUAAAUGCUGCAUAAGAUAAGAGAGUGGGAGGCCGGCCCCCGCCCAUCUGGAGGUGCACACCCAUUUAUGAACAUAUACAAAGGGCUAAAGAGAGAAGUCCAUGGAGAACUACCAAAUCCAAUGACUUUGAUUUGUUCGUACCAUUCUGUCAUCGAUCACUGCUGGGUCGGUUGGUGAGUCACCCAAAAAAAGCAUCGAGAAAGGUCAAGCAUAUAUGUUUUAUGAAAUGAUCAGCGGUUUCAUUUAUGCUAUGCCCUGCAUCGUGUUCGUCUGUGUUUAUUGAGCUUUCAGCGCCAUGCGCUUUGCUUCGCUUUAUAAAAGAGAGAGAGCCUUGUCUUGAGAGUGAAAAGAAAGGGCAAGCGAUAGAAAGGAUAGUCCCUCGCGCGUUCGCGAGAACUACUAGAAAAUGGUGAGAUCAUUAGAUCAUUAGUGAAAGAAGGACCAACGACGAUCCUAUCCUAAAGGAGAAGAAGGAGUAGGAGGAGUCAGUUUUCUUUGAAGAUCGAGGAAUCAAUCUCCCAAUUAUGCCAUUCGGAAGAAGUCUUCUACAGAGGGAAAGCCUGUUACGAGUAAGUGGAGAGGAAAGAUCUCCAGAGAUUCUUAUCUCAUUCCAUUCCAGUGGCUCAACCAGUAACCAAUGGCGAAAACUAAAAAAUCCAUGGUUUCCCGGUAGAACCCUAUUUCGCCCAAGUUGUUUCAGAACCGGAAAAAAGAAGCGNACCGGAAAAAAAGAAGCGGUUUUUCGCACAGCUUGCGCAUAGUGCAGGUCCCACUUCUAUAUCGUAUUUGGCCGAAGAAGCAUCGGAUAGGUUGGAGUUCUUACCUUCUUGGGAUUCCAUGGACCAAGAUCGGCUUUUAUUAUAUGGGCAAUGCCGAUCUACUUUAGUAGAUCAUAUGGAUGUAGAAAAAGCUUCUCGUUUUGAUGAAUUGGAAACAUCUCUUUUCCAUUUCUAUUUACCCAGUUCAUAUCUUUGUUUCGUGUGUUCCCCGGAGGAAUUCGAUCUCUUCAAUCUCGGGAUACCACCUAAAUAACUAUAACUGCGGCCAGAGAGUCAAAUAGGUCGGGAAGAAAGAGUCUGAGGUUGGGUUGGACGACAUACAUCUUGGUUGGUCCCACCACCACUGGGGAUUGGACAUAUAUAGAAUCUUUCUUCUAAAAAAGUCUUAUUAUAUAUAUAUAUAAUUUUAUAUUCUUAUUUAUUUAAAUAGCUGCAAGACCACAAAACGGGGUGAAAAAAACCGAAAGCCCUUCUUUUAAGUUCCUCCCAGAUACAUGGCUUACAUACCCGGCUCAACAUUCUUGGAAAACAAUCGAAUCGAGGGUCCGGAGGAGAAUUGGCCAUUCAAUCUUGUGAACUAAUCGAGACCGAAAUUGGAGAAAGAGAUACGAACGGAAAGGAAUAACCAAUCGAUGAAAGAACAUGAAACCAUUCUGUUUCAAUAGAGGUACGAGAAAGGGUUGGGGGCAAUGAAGUAGGUGAAGUGGUUGGAUUUUGCGAGCUGUUCCCACCACUACUGGAUGUGAUUCCAAGAGCCGAACGAGAAUGAAUACCACACAGAAAAGUCAAGACCAGGCUCCUUAAUGAAAUGUUUAACCGAUCCAUUCCGGAUUGACCGAAUUGGUACGGAAGUUGUAACAUGGGAAAACCACGGAAAACACGACUUAUUUGAAUAACCCGGUGACCUACCAAUUGUAGAAGUAGGAUUUUUGGCAAGCAAUAAGCACUUAAAUAAUACAAUUCAAGUGUACCAUCUUCUUUCUCAUUUCGAGGAAAAGGUGCGGAAGGAAAAGGAAACAACGGAGGGAUCCGAAUCGGACCUAAAUGGGAAUGACAUGAAAAGUCUUUUUCAAAACCUAGCAUUAAGGGCGUUACGACGAUAUAUGAGAGGAAUGGAGAAAAACUCGUGAUUGGUGUGGAGGGGAAGGUCUGUUUAUAAUAUAGUUCAAGAAAGAGUCGUCUCAUUUCCUUACUUCUUCGUUCUUUCUAAUUCAUUCACUUCAAGACUGGUUCUGAACGCCGCGUAACAUCAUCUUCAACCAACCUCCAUCGUACCGGUGCGACCACUAAAGAAUUGCUUAUACACUAAACAGCUGCUUAUAUACGCUUACUAAAAGACUGACUUUUAUUCAUAUUCAAUUCAUUAGGCCAGCGUGAAACUAAGAAAGAUAGAUGUGCCUAAGGCGUAAGCAAACUGUGCACGCUAAGAGAAGAGGAGAGAUGUUCGCAAUGACUACCACAAGAAAGCCGCCCCCUCUCUCUAAAAGGGCCCGUCACUUCGUUCGUACCUUCUUGGCUUAGGCUUGCAACUUCACUUACUUUAUGGCCUUGCCGCCUUUUUAUAGCAGAAGCUAAGCGCUUGAAAAGCGCGCUAAGAAAGGUUGCUUCUGUCGGCCUUUAUGUGCAACAGUCCACCAGUAGCGGAAGAUAGGGUUACCGUACAUACAAGAGUCUUCCAGUUCUUACGGAAGCUCUUUCUUACCAGUCAAGUAGUACAACAGCUGUCUCUUAUCUUAUAGCCCGGCGCGGCGGGUCGCCUUUUUAAUUCAGUAGAUAGAAGAAAGUAUUAGAUAAGGAGUAGGUGAGUGAGUCCUCGCUGACCUGAGCGAUUUCGAUCACCUAGCAGGCCUUUUCUUUGGUAGGUAACAUCGCCAAAGCGUAUCAUCAGAUUUGACUACGAAGGAAGGAACUCGGCAGAAGAUCGGUCUGCAAGAAAGGCCUACUUAUCCACGGGUUCAUUGACAAAACCGCCGUAGGAAUGGAGACCUUUCAAUAGAGCGGAGGCGAACUGAUCAACGAGAAAGAGGCCCUACUCACUACAAAGGAAUACACCACAAGAUCGAACUGCACUCAUGCCUCUCCCGCAUCAAGUUGACCGCCAGACUGGAGCUUCGUAACAUGUUGACGAAGACCUCCGAACUGAGGGUUCGGUCAGUACAAGAGACUACUUUGUCUCCUCGGAAGAAGAAUAGCCCCGCUCUCUAGCCGACUGAUCCCGUUGAUCAAACUGGGAGGGAACGUGUCACAUUAGAGGUGAACGAUCAGAGGUGUCCUCUAAUCACUACGAUGAGCUGGUCCCUCUUUUAGUAGACUCAGCUAUGAAUAUUCAUGAAAAAAUGAAUGCCUCUUUCACAGCUAACCCCAUUUUCUUAAUGCCGAGACUUUCUCUUUCGUCGAGCCCCGAGCUUGUGGUCCUCCUUUGAGUUUGGGUUCAAUUGGAUGAAUCUGUCAAGUCAAGGUCAACGUACGUAGCAGCAAGGAUGGUGCAUCGCCUCUUUCUCGUUCUCGCUCGGGAGCCAAAACGAACACGCCUGCUACCUACUGUACUGGACCUUCGACCAGGCAUUCUACCUUUGUCGAAUCGGAACCAAUACCACUGCAUUGCGCUCGAACAGUUGAGCGGCCGCCGGCCCUUCCGUGCACAGAUAUAGAUUCAUUCUUCGUACCUGGUCCAGCCUCACAACCCUUCGCGGGUUGGUAAGAAGUCAGUCUUGUUUGGUAAGACGGAAUUUUACAAAGAAAAGAGAGUGCUCGCCCCGGCCAACAAAGACCGUAAUUACAUAGAUAACUGCUCCUCCCCUUCUCCGUCUUUAAGGCUUUAAGGCGAACCGUAUGGCGGCUGGAAAUAAAGACGACCUCACCUUCUCGUAGAUGGUGUCAGUGAGAGCCAUUUUAGUACCCCCCGUUGACCUUUUUUUGUAGAUAGAAUCUUCAAUGAGUGGAAACAAGCAACCUUACUAAGCUAAGAAAGGUGCUUGUUGAGUAAGGCCGGCUUUCUUCGAAUGCUUGAGCGCUUCUUUCUCAUAUCGAUCAUUCAAUAUCCUUGACUUUUCAAUAAGGGGCGCGUUAGCUAGGCCGUUUUCUUGCAGGAGUGCUAGCGCGCGCCCUUACGUUUUCUUCGCUUGCUCUGCAGUACGAGCCUCAUACAAAGCCGCGCCCCUUUAAUAUGAUGAAGAGGGGCCGCCCUCUUUUCUUUUCCGCACCAAUCCUUAUUUACUACUACAUCUUUUUUGGGGUGUAUAGCUCAGUUGGUAGAGCAUUGGGCUUUUAACCUAAUGGUCGCAGGUUCAAGUCCUGCUAUACCCAAACCUAACUUGCACUAUACUAUGAGUAAGGAUGCGUAGUAGCGCAAAGAGCACUCUUUGGCCUUUAGAUUAGAGGCGCUUCGCCGUCUUUGAUUGGAUGGAAACAUCUAUCUAAAGUGUGCAGUGAAGGAGAAGAGUAAAUAGUAGGGGAAAGAAGAAAAUGGCACAUUGACAUUCAUCUUCCUCUCGAAGGGCUUUGAGAAGAGGGGCAACAGUGAAGAUACCGAGACCGUGUCUAUGGGGUCUUAGUAAGAAUCUGUUGCAAGCAAAUGCAUGUAAGGGAGGAAUGCCCGCAUUAAGAUUUAAAACUUGUCGUCUACUUGAAGGAAAUGUUUGGAACAGGAAACUUACAAUAAUACAACGCCGCAUUCUUCGAAGAUUGAGGAACAAGACGAGAUCUAUUAAGAGAAUGAUUUAUUCUCGAAAAAAUCUGAAUAGUUACAUCCAAUUACAAACUACACGAAAGUUGCCCCUUUUUCAUGGAGAUUUACCCAUCACAGAGAUGCAUAGAGGAACAGAACGAACUUCAUAUAUCCCUUUUCCACUCAAUCCAGAAACAAGAUCGGACGUUAUUCCGGUUCGUCUCCAUUUUAGUGAAACUCUUCCUCAAGCAAGGCAGCCGAUAAGUCAUCGAAGGCUUUUUGUUAAUAAUGUAAUAGUCAGCAUUACUUCUUUUCAAGUUUCCCAAGGUGAUUUCAUAUCUUUUAAAGAAAAUGAUACUCUAAUCUAUUCAGAAAUAAGGAGAUCCUUCUAUAUCGAAAUUUCAGUUUCUAAAAUCAUAGGAAAAUUCCUGGAUAGCCCGGUAAGAAUGUGGAGAAGAACCAAAACGGAAUGGUUCCGCUUACUUAAAACUAAGAGGGGAUGCCGCCUACUACUGAAAGACCCGUUUUUGCAACAGUUGCGUUCUUCUAUGCAAGACGAAGACUUAGAAAGAACAAAGAAGUUUGGAUCCGAAAAAGUAUGCUUAGGCAGUUCUUU
rnacentral:lncRNA from 1 species